CCUAACACGGUUCCCGGAUUCUAGGAGUUCUGCCACGCGUCGUUGGAGUAAUCGCCCACCUGUCAUUCUCCCCUAUUCAAUCAAUCAAUCAAUUCCGUACUUUUCGUGGAUUUCUCUCCUCCUCAGCCAACACGAAACCCUAACCCUAGCAAGGUACGAUUUCCUUGCCCACAUUCUUUUGGCGACUCUGCUGGGGAGGUGUAGAAUUCGUGAAGGGUAUGCCCACAACUCGAAGUGGGAGAACUACAGGAAGAGUUGCUUCACCAACAAAUAGCAUUACUUCCCCGGAUCCAGUUCCAAGGCAAGCAACUCAAGCUUUCCAAAGCGCAAAUCUGGAUUUUGACCAAUCACUUAUUAAAGACGCUUUGGAAGGGAGUUCAACAUCACUAUACAUGGCCAAUCAACAACAAACCAACGCAGAAAGGCAAGACGAGGAUGCAAGUGGAGAACAAAUGAAUGCUGUGCAACUGGAGAUGCUCAAAGCAUUGAAGGAAGCACGAGAAGGACAAGGUAUGAUGAUGGCCAUGAUGCUGGAGAUGCAAAGGAAGCAAGAAGAGAUGUGGAAUUUUCGCCAGCAAUUGAUGCAGAUCCAUACCUUCAAGGCCAUGUUCCCAGGCAAUUCGCAUGGAGAACAAGUAGGAGUGGAGGACAACAACAAUGGCAGCAACAACAAAGAGAACCAGAUUGUACCUCCAUUGACGGAAAGUCAAUCGGUUCCAGUAAUCAACUUGGAGCUCCAGAACAGUGGUGAUGGGCCACAACCUAGGUUGGAAGCAAGCCAACCUCAAACGAACAUCAUCCCAUCAUUUUCACAGGUGCAAAUGCCAAACAUUUCAAGCAAUGUCCAGCGAGUGAGCCAGCAACUUCCACCAGUGCCAGUUGUGCAUGAUGCAAGCGUGCAUCAACCAACCUCUCUACCAUACACAUUGCCGAUGCAGCAGUAUAUCACAACACCCCAGAGAGUUCAUGCCACAAGCCAGUACGUGACGAAGGAUGAUAUGAUCGACGUGAUCAAUCAACUUCGCAGACAGACAUCUCGACCCUCGGAGUUAGACUUUACUCCUCCUUACCCUGCACACAUUCGGAGGCAACCUUACCCAACAGGGUAUAUUGAGCACCCACCGCAGUUUCCAAAAUACAAUGGGGAGAAAGGAGAUGCCAGAGAACACGUUGCCAGGUUCGUAGAGUCGAUGUCUCUAUGGCUAGGAUAUGAUGAAGUAAACAACCACAACUUGUUGAUGAGGGAAUUCAACAAGACUUUGACGGAUAGUGCCUUCAGUUGGUACUACAAUUUGGAGAAGGGAUCAGUCCAUGAUUGGGAUGAUCAAAAAUUGCAAUUUUUUAAGAAAUUCUUCUAUGUGCGGAAACAGGUAACCAUCGUAGAGCUCAUGCGAUUCAAGCAGAAGCCAAACGAGGAGCUGUCAGAUUAUGUGGAUAGGUUCAGGGCCCAAGCACAGAAGUGUGCAGAGCCAAUUGAAGAAAAGAACUUGGUUAGCAUAUGCAACAAUGGUGCUUUAGACGCCUUCAAGCCCCACCUCAUCACCAAGGCUUGUGAUUCCUUCGCAAAUCUCUCAUCUUUUGCACAAGACUUGGGGGGAAUCAUGACAUUUCCCACCAGUCAUGCGAUGGAUACAUGGAAGAGCAAGAGGACAGCAACUGUGGCUUUAGUGGAUUCUCAGUCAAAAUCACAAGGGGGCAAGAGGGAGAAGAAUGAGAAAUUUGAACGAAACAGAGAAAAGCACAGGGACAAGUAUACUAGAAUGCCAGUUCCGGAGGCUAUCACAUGCAGCGAGAAGGCGUUCAGGAGCCUGUACGAACAAUGGGUCGAGUACGGAGUAGUGAAACCUCCAAGGCCCCGGUCGGUUGUAACUGAAGAAAUGAAAAGAAGAUCAGACUUCUGUGUAUACCACCAAUACGCAGGGCAUUCCACUAUGGACUGUUACAGUCUACGGAGGAUAUACCAUGAGAAACUGGCGGCUGGGGAGAUUGAACUAGGAGAAGAAACGUGCAACACCAUCACCCAUGGUGCAGUCCUGUAAGUCAAGAACUCAAAUAUUGGCUCUACGUACCAUCGAACAAACUUUGAACUACAGAUGAAUUAAAAAUCCACCCAAGAUGGUGGUCCACCAAAAAUGUAGGUUUAAGUCCUCUGGAAUAUCCUUUGCCAAGUAAAUUGGAUGACCAAGGGAGGAGGCACAAGAAUUGACGAAAAAAAAAAACCCACCCAAGAUGGUGGUCCACUCUAAACGGUGGUCAAGUCCUCUUAGACUGCACUUGCCAAGAAAUUGGACGACCCAAGUGACGAGGCACCCGAUUUCAAGUCCUCGUAGACUGCACUUGCCAAGAAAUUGGAUGACUCAAGUGACGAGGCACCCGAUUUCAAGUCCUCGUAGAUUACACUUGCCAAAAUAUUGGACGACCCAAGUGACGAGGCACCCAUUUUCAAGUCCUCGUAGACUGCACUUGCCAAGAAAUUGGACGACCCAAGUGACGAGGCACCCGAUUUCAAGUCCUCGUAGACUGCACUUGCCAAGAAAUUGGAUGACUCAAGUGACGAGGCACCCGAUUUCAAGUCCUCGUAGAUUACACUUGCCAAAAUAUUGGACGACCCAAGUGACGAGGCACCCAUUUUCAAGUCCUCGUAGACUGCACUUGCCAAGAAAUUGGACGACCCAAGUGACGAGGCACCCGAGUGUUACACUUUAUCAUCAAAAGUGAAUGAGGCACCUGACUAUAAGCCCUCAGACCCGAAAAAGUUACACUUUAUCUCUAAAAGUGGUGAACGUUAUGCUUUCACCGACAAAAGCAAGAUUUAUUAUAUAUGAAAUGUUAUGCUUUUCGUUAAAAGCAAUUUUAUUAUCAAUAAAUUGACAAACUUUCACUUAUACUUGAACGCUUUUUUUUAAAAUUUUUUAAAAAAAAAAGAAAGGAAAAAGAAAAGAAAAGUAUAGAUUCAAGUGUUAGUUUGUAUGAAAUAAAUGUACAUGAUUUUCUGAUACAAGAAAUGAAAAGAACUACGACAGUUCAUGAUCCAAAGGUCAUGACCUGUCGAAUUGAAGAUAGAGGAAUACCUAAAGCUUGGUCUUCGAGGCCAUCAGCAGGUCUUCGAUGCUAUCAGUAGAUCUUCAAGGCUAUUAUCAGGCCUUCGAUGCUAUUAGGCCUUCGAAGCUAUCAGCAGGUCUUCAACACUAUCAGCAGGACUUCGAGGCUAUCAGGCCUUCGAAGCUAUCAGGCCUUCACGAAAUGUUUGGUUCUCAAUGACUUCUUGAUUCCAAAAGAAAGAGGAAUUUCAAGAGAUGGUAAGAAAGAUUAGAUCGAAGAUUUUCAAAAUAUCCCAGGAGAGCUCCUCUAAGGCUCGCCCUUCUAGGGUUUGCUCCCUAGAGGUUCCCUCUCCUAGGACUUUCGUUUUUGAGGAUUGCAAAACAUCAAGCCCCGCGAAGUGUUCAGACACUGGAAUCAAGACUUCAACACUUAUAAUAUUUUGCGCGAUCAUCUCACCAAAGGCGUGACUCACGCGCAGGGGGCAAAUACUUACCGAAAGAGGGCAUAGACAUCCUCCAGAGUAAAGGUGCAUUCACCCCAAGCAGUGAUGAAUAUGUAGGUCCUAUUGGAUAUGAAUGUUCCUACAUAGCUGGAUGCAAAGUUAUCCACAUAAUCAGCAUUCCUAAGUAGCUAGUCAAUCCAAUGUUGCUAUUCUUGAAGGUGGUUAGAUGAAUCAGACAAGAAGUCAUCCCAACUUCCAUAAGCCGUUGGAUAUAGAAACAAGCCUUCCUUCUAUGGUGGAGGAAAAGUUGUACGGGCAUAAGUUUGGACUUGCUUCCAAAAGACGACGAAAAGACCAAAGGAGGGGAACCCUUUCCCAAUCAUUGAGAAACGGGGCCUCCUUGGUUGUUCCCAAGUCUGCAGAAUGUUCAACAGGGAGGGCCUGCAAGAAAAAAAAAGAGAGUUCAGCAUAAGGGAUCUAAAGAAGCAAGGAAGGGACGUCAAAUAAAGUACUUGAGCUCGAAAUGCUCACCAUGCCAAAGAGGAAUAUCCGAGAGUAAAGCUUCAAAACACCUGAAAAGAAGAUGAAACAAUGUCAGAAAGAGUUAGGGUUCACCCCCUAGGGUUCGGCUCCCUAGGGUUCGGCUCCCUGGAGCGGUUUCACUGCAUCUAGAGCAUUUUUUCUUCCUUCGUGUUCUUCGUGGACGAAACGUCAAGUCUUUCUUUAUUAUCCGAGGGAAAAAACCAAGAUGUAAUCAAGGUAAUGGGGCUCGGAAGACAAAAGAAAGAUUGGGGAGUCCAAAAAAAAAAUUUGUAGGGUUCCGCCCCCCUAGGGUUCGACCAUGUUGGCUUUGUAGGUCUCCUCGCUAGCUUCGUUUUGAUAUAUUAUGGGCUCCGAAACUCCAAACGAGUCAAAAGUUAUGAUCAAAAUAGUAGUUGCUCCUCCAAAAACUUCAUCUUUUUCAUUAAAACUUCAUUUUUCCCAUAGGGUUCGGCCAUGUUGCCUUAGGCUACCUAGGGUUCGGUCAUGUUGGCUUUGUAGGGCUGGUCGAUAUCUUCAUUUUGAUAUAUUAUGGGCCCCGAAACUUCAAACGAGUCAAAAGUUAUGAUCAAAAUAGUAACUGCUCUUCCAAAAACUUUAUUUUCCCCAUAGGGUUCGGCCAUGUUGCCUUAGGCUACCUAGGGUUCGGCCAUAUUGGCUUUAUAGGGCUCGUCGAUAUCUUCGUUUUGAUAUAUUAUGGGCCCCGAAACUCCAAACGAGUCAAAAUUUAUGAUUAAAAUAGUAAUUGCUCCUCCAAAACUUCAUUGUUCCCCUAGGCCAUGUUGCCUUAGGCCACCUAGGGCGCGACCAUGUUGCCUUAGGCCACCUAGGGGGCGGCCAUGUUGCCUUAGGCCACCUAUGGGUCGUUCUUUUCACCCCUUAAAAAAAAAAAAUCUAUGUAGGCUUCGGCCAUGUAGUCUUCGACUAUGUAAGCCUCGACUACCUAGGGGCUGUUACCCUUCAUACCUUUGAGGUCCUGUUGCUCUAUCAAUCAACUGCUUGAAAUGAAUGCUCCUUUGCCGCGAAGAUUUUCCAAAAGAUAAGUAUCUUUGAAUUCAUUUCUAAAUAAAAAUAUAUAAAGAUAUUAUUUGCUAAAUAUAAAGAAGAUUUAGUUUUAUUCCCAAUAAGGGGUAAUUUUUGAAAAUAGAUUAUUUAUAUGCAUAUAUAUAUAUAUAUAUAUAUAUAUAUAUAUAUAUAUAUAUGUAUAAAUAAGUAAAAUCUUUUGCUUUCAAAUAAAGAAAGAUUUGGUUUAUUUCCAAAAUAUAGAAAGAUUUGAUUUAUUUCCAAAACAAAGAAAGCUUUGAUUUUAUUUCCAAAAUAAGAUUAAGAUUUGAUUUAUUUCCAAAACAAAGAAAGCUUUGAUUGUAUUUUCCAACAUAAGAUUAAGAUUUGAUUUUAUUUUCGAAAAAAAUAAUAUUAAUUAAGGUCUGAUUUACCAAAAGAAGGAUUUUAUUAGAUUAAAAUUUAUUUAUAUUUGAUUAUAUUUCCUUGUUUCCAUUGCCAGAAAAAAAUAAGGAAACAAAUAUUGGACAAGAUAUGGAAAGAUUUUUGGAGAAGUUCCCAAUUUGUCUAAGAAAGAGCCCUGCAAAAUCAUUCAAAGGCUUAUAAUUUUCUUGCACGAUCGUCUAUUUGGGAAUGCGACUCUCGCGCAGGGGGCAAAUGUGGGCCCAAGUGCAAAAUUAGGGUUCACAUGACCUAAUUGAAUUAAAUGCACAAUUAGGGUUCCACGACCUCAUUAAAUGUGCAAAUUAGGGUUCGCAUAACCUAAUGGAAUGAAGAUGGAAAAGUCAGAAAUAAAUGUGCUAGACCCGGGAUAAGCCUCCACGUGUCCCGAGGCAGAAGACUCGUGGAGGCGGCUCGUUUUGGGAAUUGAUUGAGGGAUUGGAUUGGUGGCUAGAAGGACAGGGCAAUAUGAGCAUUAUUCUAAGGACUAAAGGGUAUUUCUGGAAUUUCCCUGAAAUCAUGUGCCUUGCACAUGACUACUUUCCAGAGAACCCUAUAAAUACCCCUUCUAUUCCAUUGGAAAAGGGAUACACAAGACUUGGACCCUUUUGGUGACUUAAAGGCUUGGAUUUUUCCACCUAAAAGCACUAAAGAGUUGAGACUUCUCUUCAGACUCAAGACUUGGACUCUUGGAAGAUCAAAGAGACCCUUUUGGUGACUUAAAGGCUUGGAGAUUCCACCUAAAAGCACCAAAGGGGUUUGGACAUUCUCUCAACUUGAAGGACUCAAGAAGGCUCUUGGAAUCCCUGUUACCCUAACACGGUUCCCGGAUUCUAGGAGUUCUGCCACGCGUCGUUGGAGUAAUCGCCCACCUGUCAUUCUCCCCUAUUCAAUCAAUCAAUCAAUUCCGUACUUUUCGUGGAUUUCUCUCCUCCUCAGCCAACACGAAACCCUAACCCUAGCAAGGUACGAUUUCCUUGCCCACAAGUCGAAAGCCUCCUAUCACUCUCCUUCGGUAUCAAAAUCCCACCAUGUCCUCUGGCAGAUCCCUCAUCAUCACCCUUCAGAUGAUCAAAUCUCAUUCGAUCUCUUCAAAAGUCUUAAUUUUUUGAUUGAACCUACAGAUCUUCAAGCGAAAUAUAUAUGCUGAUCUAUCGGGUCCUUUCCUUUUCUUGUUGGCAUUUGGAUUGUUUCAUUUAUUUAUUGAGGUUAUUUUUGUCCCAAAAAAAUAUAAUCUCGUUCAGACGUGGCUCUGAAUGAUUUAGCAUUAUUUUUGAAUCUUACCGAUUAAGAGGCAUUAAGAGCCAUAAAUUUUUUUAUCAAACAAGUUGUGCCUCUGACCGAAUCAGAGGCACACAUAUUAAGAGGCUUUAAGACUCAAACAAACACCACCUUAGUGGUGAGAAAUGUUAAAGAUGUGUAAAAGGGACAUCGUUGUCCAUCACAGUGAAAAACUUUAUUUAAACAUGGAGUUUUUUUAUUGUAUUUAAUUGAGUUUUAAUAUUAAUAAAAUUAAAGAGUCUUCAAUAUCGAUUGAUAUUGGACGUGGAUUAAGUUACUAGACUAGAUAAUAAGUGUUAAAUCACGUAAAAAUCCUUAUGUCUGUGAUUUGUUAUUUCUUAUGAUUUGGACAUUUAAUUCAAACUUGCAUCUAGACAUUCACAUAAAAGUAUAUUGCUGAUAUAUAAAGUUUACUAAUUCAUACAUGCACUAUCUUCUGUCUACAUUAUAACAAAAAUAAAAAUUAGUCUAAAGCAGACACUUUCAUUUUUCUGUUUUAAGUUCAGUAGUAAAAAAAUUAAAAUUAAUAAUUGUUAAUCACUUUAUAGCUUAAACACAUAUUCACCACACCUUUAGGUGUACACUUACACGAAAUUACACAUAUGUCAUGUUUGUUUGUAAUGAUUAUAAUUCUAAAACUAUUAACCCUAAGAUUAAAUAGUCUUAAUCACGUGUUUAUUUUUUAUGAGAUUAUUCAUGUGAUAACUUAAAAUAAUCUCAUGUUAUGUUUGUUUUUUUAGGAUUAAUUAAAUAAUUGGAUAAAAAAUUAUCGUUUGAACUAUUAUACCCUUACCAAUAAGAACAUAUUUUAAACUAUAAUUUAAACUUGUUUAGACAUCAAAAAAUAAUAAACAAUUAAUUAUAAACUUUUAAAUAUUGGUUAAAUCAGUUAGUUAUGCUCUUAAAUAAAGUUAUACUACAAAUUAACUAACAGUAAAUUAACUAAGAUAAAAAAUAAUAUUAAAUUAACUAACAGUAAAUUUACUAAUAUAAAUUAAAAUUAACUAAGAUUAAAUUAAAUAACAAUUUAAAGUUUAGAGUUGAAUUAACUAACAGUAAAUUAACUAAGAUUAAAUUAAAUAAUAAUUUAAAGUUUAGAGUUGAAUCAUACGUGAUAUUUUCUCUAUUUUUUUAUAUCGUGUGUGCACGACUUUUUGUGUAUAGUUGGUAUUUUUAUUUUUUUUGCCAAUGUAUAGAAUUUUAAAUUUAAUAUUAAUUUGAUUUUUUUAAAAAUAUUAGUACAAUCAAUUAUAUAUAUUGAAAUAAACUAACAAAUUUUUUAUACUAAUUAUCAUUUAUUUCGUUAAAUUAAAUUAUAAUUUUCCUUUUUGUGUAUGUUUACGAUUUUUUUUUUUAAAAUUUAGAUUAUCAUUUUAGGCGAUUUUAUUAUGCUCGUAAAUAAAGGGUAAUAUAAUUAUUUAGCAAAAAAAAAAGGGUAAUAUAGAUUGCAAACAGAUCCCCGAGCAGUGUACAACAUGUUUUUGGACGGUGAGCAAGAGACACCGUUCACGUACUACAAGAGUUGAAUCACCUGAUAUUAUAGUCAUUUUAAAAAAAAAUUGAGGUUAAUUUUGUCUAAAAAUUUUUAGUUCUAAAUAAUGGAAUUAUAAUAUCUAGUUGAACAUGAUAUUAAAUAAUCUCUCAUAUUAAACUAUUUUAUAAUUUUUAAACUAAUAGUAUCGAGUUCAAAUUUAAAAACAAACAAAACAUUUAAAAUUAAUAAUCUUAUCUCAAGUAUAAUACUUAUAAACAAACAUACCUAUUGUACUACACCAUUUGAUCAUCACCCUUCCGUAAACUGAAAAAAACAUUUGAACAUCAUGAACGUUACUUCCAUUAAAUGAUUUCAAAUAAAUUCUUUUAUUUGUGAUUUUUUAUAUUAAUAAUAAUAUAAAAUAACACAAUAUUUUGAAAUUUAUUUAUGACCAUUAGGACAUGCGAAAAUAUAUAAGAUACCAAACUAGUCUAGUUAAUUUAUUAUGUGAGCAUGCAUCAGGGCAUGUUAUAAAGUCUCUAUGUUCCCUACACAGCUACACUCUAUUGCUCCUCAUCGAACAACUAAAAUUCAAACUAAAGAUUAUGCUGCUGCAGGUAAAAUCAGUCUAAUUAACACAGCAUUUCCAGUGUGAAAAUGGCAAUGUUACCCCAACCCUAGGAUACAAAAGCAGUCAAUUUCCACAUAAAAUUCAAUGUCAUCACACAAACUGGGAUCAUUCAAAAUCCCAUCAGCAUUUGGUCCCACCUAAAAACCAUCAAUUCACCCAAUCCUUGCAGUGGACCCACCCUGUCCCAUAUGUCCCAAAGCCAGCAUGCCAACGGGUGGUCCCACUAGCUAAAUGACAAAUCUACCCGCAUGAUAACUUAAUUAGGAACUUCUCCGUUUCAAAUGAAAUAGUUCAUAAUUUAAAUUUAAAAUAUGUUAAAAUAUAACAUUAUGAUAAUAAGAGAAAAAUGAUUAUAAAAAAUAUACAAACAAGGGAGAGUACUCAUUUCAUUUUAAAUAAAAAAGAUUCAUGGAAGUAGUAUCAAAAGAUUUUGGUGAUAAUACAUUCAUACUGGUACGUGUUUGUGGGAGAGAUUAAUUAAGUGAUAUAUAUAUAUAUAUAUAUAUAUAUAUAUGACCCAUAAAACUACAAUUUCAAGAAUGUGAGGAAAAGUUCCCACACCCCAAACACAGAAAAAGUAAAACAGUUGGUUCACCACAUCAGAAUCCAGAAGGAAAGAAAAAUAGAGAGAAAAAGCUGAAUUUGAAUUAUGUCUCUUCAACAUGUACUCUUUGUUCUUUCAUACUUAGCCUUAUAUGAAACCAAACCAACAUGAUAUCAUAACCACUGCAAUUAUUUAGUCCCCCACACAACCCAUCUUCUUACUAAAUCCCUAAAAUUUAAAGUUAAAAUUAAACCAUUUCCCGAAUCCCAAGAAAAACAAUGAAUCAAACUUUUUUUUUUCUUCUUUUCCUUCUCUCUCUCUUAUCUGUCUCAUUUCCUUGCCGUUGACUGAGUGACUUGGAAUUCUUCUUCCAAUUUUCCUCACUUUAUUUAAAAAAAAAUUAACAACUCUGCUUCUACUAUUUAAAUACAGCCAUUUCCCUAUCAUUGAGAAAAUGGAAAUGGGUGACCUUCACUCCAUUGCUUACAGUGGCCGCUGCACCACCUCUAAUUCCUUUGCUUGGGAAUUUCACAACCUUGGAGUUUUCAACGCAGACAUGUCUCACUGUAACAGUUCUAUUCUUUCUCCUUUCUUCUUUUGUCUCUCUUUACUUUCUUGGAGUACUGUAUAUGUGUGUGUGUUCAGUGUUCUUUCUUUUAGCUUAAUUAUUAUAUAUAAUAACUGUAACCAUUUGUGUAUAAUUUAUAAUUAACUAGUAGCGAUGAGUAGCAGUACUCCACCAUAUGAUCUCUCAUCUCUUGAUUCGGAUUAUUCCACCGGCUAUCUGCAAGACGCUUUGUUUGAAUUUAGCUCUAAACGAAGGCGGUUACUUUUGUUCUCCGAUGAUCAAACUAACUACUCUACCUGCCCAAUUGAGGUACUUUUAGCUGCUUUCUAUAUAAUAUGUUACAGUAUAUAGUUGCAUGUGUGUUAAUUAAUCUGUAUAUAAAUAUUCAAACUCAUACAUAGCUAGGUUGAUAUAUAUAGAAUUUGAAUCUAACUCUAUGCAGAGUUGCUGGAAGGAGAAUUUCACCGAUACUUAUCCUGAGAAUUUUGGUUAUCUAAACCAGAUAAAUGAGAUGGAUUGCAUUGCUGCAGGUGAUUAGUUAAUUACAAGCCUUGAUUAUAUACAUUAUAUAUGUGUAUAUAUAUAUAUAUGUAUUAUGUAGUUUUUUUUUUACCUUAUGGUUUUUCUUAAUUUCUUUAUUAGUUAUUGUGUUUAUAUAUAUGACAUGCAUGCGUCAUAUGCAUGUCAUAUUUACAUGUACAAUUUGAAUUUUGUUUUACAUAAAACACAAAUGUUUUUUUAUUAAGAAAAUGAAACAUUAUUAUAAUUGCCCCUUACAUGCAGGGAAAACGAUGAAUAAUAAUAAUAAUAAUAAUAAUAAUAAUAAUAAUAAUAAUAAUAAUAAUAAUAGAUCAGCGAGCGAAACCAGCAGUGAGGGGGAGAUUAUUGUCACAGAAGAAGACACGAAAACAUCAGAAGAGGGAAAUGGAACAGCUUUUGAAGGCCCUUUAGAUUCUUCCUCUUCUUCACAGAGCAAAGAUUCACCUCCCAUAAACAACAUCCCCUCCAUUUCGGAAUUAACCCUAGAUGCCAUAUCUCCGUCGCCUGCUGGUACAUGUUUUAUUCUCCCACUCUCUAAUUAUUUAAUUUUCACCAAAUUAAGUUCAAAUUAUUUUGAGUAUUUGACUAUAAAAUCAGUAAAUUGAUAUUUUUACGUUUAAAUACUAUAUUUUCACAUGAUUUCUUUGACAUAAAUUUCUUAAAAUUAACAAAUACAAAAUUCUAUAUUAAUUUUUUUUAGUAAUUUUCUCUUAGAAUGAGAUGAUCAUAUACAAAGUGUAAGGAACCUUCCAAAAGAAAAAAAGAAAAGAAAAAGAGAUAUAUCUAGCAACUGUAAAGACGAAAGCAUACCUAUCAUGAUCUCUCUCUCUCUUUUUCCUUGAAUUCCUUGACAAUAUUAGGAUCAUAGGUACAUCAUUCUACAUGUAAUAAUAUAACAACUUUUGUAUUUGUGAAGAUUUUUUUAUAUGAAAAUAUCUAUGAUCAUUAGUCAAAUAACUUUAAUUAUUUGGUGGGGUUGUAUUAGGUGCUGGUGAGAAGAAAAAGAAGAAGGUAAUCACGAGGGUGGUUUAUCCAUUUGCGGUGGUCAAACCGGGAGGAAUAGAAGGCGACGUGACGUUAAAUGACAUAAAUGAGAGAAUCCUAAUGCCACCAACGAGACCGGUAAGGCAUCCGGUGGGGGACUUUGCGUGCCGACCGCUUGUAUCUCCCCAUGGACCGGGCUUGUCCGGUAAGGCUGUGGUGGCUCUUACCAGAAUUCAAACACAUGGGAGAGGCACAAUUACGAUAAUUAGGACUAAAGGUUGAGAAUUAUUUUAUGUCAAUAUAUGUACGUAGUACUAGUAAAUUAAAAGAAAAGAUCGAGUGCUUGUUUAGCUAAAUUAAAUUUAAGUUUAAUUUGUUUGCUUAAAUGUAUAUAUAGACAGAUGUAUAUGUAUUGAUAUGUGCGAGCCAAAAUUGUAAGUUGCUUAUAUAUUUUUACAUAUCAUGGGCCUCAUCAUAGCUCAUAAUAUUGGCAUUGCUAUUCAUGAUUAGAAUAUUGGAGCCUAGCUAGCUAGCUAUGGUCUCAGUUCGAUCAAUUACCGUUUGUCUGGAAAUGGAUAUUUGAUAAUAUCAUAAUAAUACAAUGAUUUGCAAAUACGUACGUACUAAAUAUAUAUAAUUGAAGUUGGGAAAUUUGUCAAUGACAUAUAUAUAUUGUACACACAUAUCAUGAUUAUGAUUGCGAUUUCUCACUAAAUUAACCUAACUACACGAAUUUAUACAUGUGAUUAGGUAUGGCAUUCUAAUGAUUGACUUUUGCAAAAUUAUCUUUUAAUACUUACCCAUCAUUGAUGAUUUAAUUAAAAUAAAUUUGGAAAACCUAAAAAUUCUCAUCAUAGUGCGGGUGGAUCAUCCUGCACCUUGGUGGCCUCCCAAAAAACGUCCAGCUGACCACCACAACUGACCACCUUUAGGCUAUCGAUCCGGCUUGUUCAAAAAUUUACACAAAAUUGAUAAAAUCUCAUAAAAUUAUAGGAAGUACGCACAAAACUUGUUAUAAUCAAGCCUGGUGCUGAUAAUUAAGAAGUAUAUAUGGAAGGAGUAGACAUAUUAAAGUCAAAUUGGGUGCAGCUGCAGGUGGACCUAGCUGUCUACAACAUUUGCAAGAUACUUAUAAUUGGGAUUAAGCAUGCAUUUUCCAUAGAUGCAGCUUUUUCAUGCAUUGAGAUUUAAGAAUACUUUCCAGACAUUGAAAAUAGGUGUUCCUUCCUUGUGUUAUGCUAUAUCUGUAACUUUUCUAUUCAUAAUCUGACUGGAAACAAGGGAAAAAGCCUUCCAAGUACAAUAACACAGACCACGUCCGCCUUUUUGGAAUAUAUGUAACAAAAUUAAAGUAAGUCUCUGCACCAGGACAUACAUAUAUAUAUUAUAUAUAGCCACUAACUUCAAACAGUACUGUGAUCAUGCAUGUUAAUCGAUCUGAUUUCUCUUCAAUGAAAAUGUACGUACUAUUCUAAUUCUGCUUUUAUUACUUGAGAAUUGAGUAGUGCAUGCUCUCUCUCUCUAGAUCUUUCUCUCUCUCUCUCUCUCUCUAUAUAUAUAUACAUAUAUAUAUAUAUAUAUAUAUAUGUGGUAAUUAGAUACAGUGACGCAUUAUAUAUAAAUUAAUGUAAAUAUAUGAAUAAUUUAUAAAUAUGUUUAUUUGCAAUAACAAUAACAAAUUUUUGUAUGGCGAGAUAUAUUAUUUUUCUCACUACUUUAAAUGUUUUAAAAUAAAGUCCAUAAAUUUUGUUUCAAAAGACAAAGUGGCCAUGCCCUUUUUACAAGAAAAACGUGAAAAAUGAUGAAUGUUUAUUCUAAACUAAUCCUCUUCCAUUGUGAGUAUAUGUUAUGGGGGUGACGGUAGUUGGUGGUUGCCUGGUUGGUGACUGGGUGGAUGAUCAUGAUAUCUUCUCACAUGCCUGCAUUCAUAUUUCUAGCGUAGUCCGUCCGUGGCUAGAGGGUCCAAAAUUUAUUAUUAUUUGUACCAACUGUAAUGAUUAAUUUAUUUGAAGAUUGAGUCACAUAUUUAUAUAAUUGUACGUUCCAUCUCAUAUAUACAUAACAUCAGCGUCGGUCCUGGACCAAAAAUUUAAUGUGCCCCUUUAUACAAAUUAAAUAAAAAAUAAAAAUAAAUUAUCAAUUAAUUAAUUUUAUUAAAAUUAUAAGAAUUUAUAAAAGAUCAGUAAGAACACUUUGGGGCCUUGUUAAAAAAUUUGUUUGGGAAAAAUCUAAUGGGACAAAACCCCAAACGAAGAAAAAAGAGUACCCCGAAUUGUAAACAUUGUAUUAAAAACGAAGAACAAGAAUCUCAGCCAAGUUUUCUGUUGAAUGAAAUAAUAAAUAAGAAAAAAUUAACAAAAAUAUAUAUUACAAUUUACAAAAUUUAUAUAUUUAGAUUCUAUAUGUAUCUUUAAAAAAAAUUACCUUCAAAGAAAGACACUGGUCUAACUAGCGGAUGAUUUAUUUUUCAAUUUUGUUGGAGAAGAGAGAAUCAUCGGAAACAAAAUUACUUGCGUUGCGUUAUGAACUGAGAGGGUCGAAGGGUUUUUUCUUCUUUUUGUGGCUAAGAGUCUAUUUUGAUUCUCCAUAUUUAUUGAUUUAUUUUAUAUUAUAUUUUAUAAUUAUUUUUUUAUUUUUUUAUACACAUAUAUAUAUAAUUUUUUUAAAAAUUGGGCCCUUCUCAGCUUUGGACCCUAGGCGAACGCCCUGGUAGACCUGGCCCAAGGCCAGCUCUGCAUAACAUUAAAGAAACAUAUAUAUAUAUAUAUAUAUGAUUGCCUUACCUUUUCAAACAUCUACAAUUAAAAUGCUGGUCACUGACGAUAUAUCAUACUAUAUAAUGGUUCCAUUUUUAAAAAAAAAAUAUCUUAAAAUCUCUUUCUUUUUUUAUUUUAAUUUUUUCAUUUGAAGUGACUAUAUAAUAGAAAAUGGGACAGGCAGGAGUAGGAUUUACGAUCUUCACCACUCUCACAAUUAUCAAAACUAAACAAAUAAAUCAACCUAGCUCGAUCAGCUUUAUAUACUGGAGAGAACAUGAUAUUAGGAAAAGGUCUAAAUCCACUAAUCAUAAAGCUACUAAUCAAAAUCAUGCAUAUGGACCAAUCAUUAAUCUAAAGUUUUGAAUAAUUAAUAUAUGGAAGAAAACACAAGAGAAUAUUGUAGCUAGCAAGCUAGCUCCAUCGAAUCUUUAUUUAUUAUUAUUAUUGGUUGUCACUGCUGAAAUUCUACAAGAGCUAGUAUGUCUUCUUCUUCACAGGUCAAUAUGAGUUGAUACACCACCAAAUCCAAGCAUCACCUGUCUCGAGACAGAAUCUAGCAAGUGGGACCCAUUCAAAAGCCCUCUUGUGUUGUUUUCCUGUCGUCGUCCAUCUUUUAUCAUCAUCAGCCCUUGAAACCUCUUUCAACUCCUUACUGAUCAAUGUUCUCAUAACAAUCAACGGUUGGUGUUUAAGGUAGACCAACACCUUGAGACCUAAACUAUGUGGCGCAGCUGUAUGCCAAAACCCAUUCAANNNNNNNNNNNNNNNNNNNNNNNNNNNNNNNNNNNNNNNNNNNNNNNNNNNNNNNNNNNNNNNNNNNNNNNNNNNNNNNNNNNNNNNNNNNNNNNNNNNNUUUGCUUUCUGGAAACAAAAAAAACUUAAUUCAUUUCAAAUUUGAAAGAAAAAAAAACAGAGUUUUAAAAUAAAGAUAUAUAGGUGUUAAUUGGUGAAUAUAUAUAUAUAUAUAAGCAAAUUAAUUGAUUGAGGCAGCAGGCAGGUAUAAUUAAUGACAAAGGCUGAUGAUGUUAAUAGUAGUGGUAUCAGGUAUGCGUCACAUGCAUGCAUGUAACAAAUUGAAGAAUGAAAAAUUAAAUUUAAUUAAGAAGAAGUUGGUAUGCCACGGGAAUUGCUUGAUUAAAGAGAAAAUAAGAAAGUAAGGAAAAACUGAAAACAUGUGGCCGCAUUUGUUUUCUUCUUGUAGUAAAUGCAUAUAUAUAAAUUUCAAUUUAGACAGUACGUACGAAACACAUGGCAUUGGCUUAUGUCUUCAUCUGUCUUAAUGAUCAGCAUUAAUUCUUAAUUACUAUGAAAACUAAUAUUAAUAUUGCACUUUUGUUGUGAGUAUUAAUACAAUUAUAGAAUAUUACUAUUAUAAGUUUGUACUUAAUUAAUUACAAAAAUCACAAAAAUUUUCAUUUUUCAUUUUUGAAAUUAACUUGUAAAAUUUUAAAACUUUACCAACUAAAUUGAAUACAAACUCAAUGUAAUGUUGAGUAUUUUUCCAUUUUGUACUUGUUUAAUUAAUAAAUUAAUCAUACAAUGGAAAGAAUAUACUAGUAUAUUGUAUUAGCUCGAUCGAUCCCGUGAAGACAUGUGCUUACACGUUGCAAAUCAGUAGAAUGACAUGCAGGUAUAUAUCAGUCAAACAUAUAAUAAAAUAAAAAAAUAAUGAGAGAAUAUUUUGCUUUUCCAAAUGGUGUUGUGUUUGGGAUUUUACAACUUUUACAUAGGAAGAUCAUUAGAGUGUAUUAUUUGCCUUUUCAAGUUUAUUACUAGUAUAGCCAUGAGCUAUGAGCCUACUAAAUACUCCCUCCGUCCCACCCACGAUAAAAGUUGUUAUUACUAUUUUGGGUUGUUCCAUGUUAAAUAUCAUCUUUUUUUUAAUAACCAAAUUUUUACACAUUUUUUUUAUAUUAUACCCGUAUCAUUAAACAUCUCAUACUUUUUUUAUUCUAAUUCUCUCUCCAUAUUUAAUGACAUUAUUAUGGGCAAUUUUAUCAUUUUAUUCCUCUUCUUAAUAUGCGUAAAAAGUCCACCAGGACUUUUAUCCUGGAAGUAUACAAUUUUAUCAUGUAAAGCUUCAAUUUCAUUUAUUUAUCAUCGUGGGGUAUUAAGCUUUAAGGAGCUUGACACUUUGUCUAUGGACCAGCACUAUUAAAUAAACUUAACCCCAAGGAAAAGUUGGAAAGAAAUUGACAAGUAUGCUGCUAUUUAUACUCAAUUCGGACUCAAAUUUGGCCUCUUCAAUCCUUUACCAACUAAUGUAUAUAAACAAAUAGCACAAGUCGGAAUAUCUGUAUGUUUAAUCUAUGCAAAGUCAGUUCGUGCUAUCACGGUGAAAAAUUGGAAACUGGCAGUUAUGGGCCUUGUUGAUAUAUGAAAAAUGUUUCUAUUUUUUUAUUUUGUCAGUGGGAAGGAAAACUUUUACUUUUUUUUUCUUUCUUUCUGUUUUUUUAUAAAAAAAUUGCUUAAGAAAACAACUUGAGUUGAACUUUUAUAUGGACAGCAUAAUAUAACACACAAUCUCUAAAGCCCAAAAUGAAGCCCGAGGUAAUACAGCUAAAACAAUAUCGACCCAAGAAACAGGCCCAAACCUCAAAAGACCCUUUAUAGACAUGGCCCCUAAAAAGGGUAUCCAGGCAAAGAUCGAACCAAAGAAAAUGGAAAGCAUUCGGUGUACUAAAUUUUUAAGAUUAGAUUUUGGAAAAUGAAAAAGUUAUACUCUCUCUAUUACACAGAAAUAGCAAAUUCAUCAAACAUACAUAUUCUUUUAUAAUAACAAGUGUAUUUUUUGCUUGUACCGUAAAUAUAAUAUAAUAUAUAUAUAUAUAUAUAUAUAUUACUGUCUCUAUUUUAAAAUUAAAUAUACAAUUUGAUUUUUGAGGUCAAACAAUGACGUAUUAAACUUCAAAUUUUGUAUAACUCAUAAAAGUUUAGAAUGAAAUAAAUUUUUUUAUUUAUAGUUUUUGUUAUAAUAAUUGUAUAAACAAAAAAUAAAUAUAUUUACAUCAAUUUGAAGUUUAAUAUGUCGUCAUUUGACCUUAAAAAUUUAAUAUAUUUAUUUACACAUGAAAAGUGUCCCCAUAAACGGAAUUAGAUGCAUCAAGAAUCAUUCAGUGUCAUCUACUAAUUUUUUUUUAUUAAACAACUCCUUAGAACAAUCUUUUCAACAACUUUGGAAAUAUAAAGGAUAGCUGGUUGUAGGAAUGUAUUGAGAGGUACAUAACAUAAGUGACCAAGUCCAUACUUCUUCCACCAAAUCAACUCCCCUAUUGAGUUUUUGUGCAGUCUAAACAAAUAUGUCUACAUUUUAAGGAACCGCGCGCGCGGUCUUUACAUUGAGUACAACCUUGUAUCUAGUAUCUCCUCAUCCCUAAUUAAGGUAACUCCUUUUAAGGAUAUAAUAAUUUAUUUCAUGUUAAUAUCUAAAUAAAAAUCUAGUAGUGAUGACUUUAUAGUAAAUUUGAACGGUUAAAUAUGAAGACAUUAAGUCAUUUUCUACCUACAUGUACCAAUAAAAAGUGAAUUUCUUUUGCAGAACAUUUUUUUUUUUUUUNNNNNNNNNNNNNNNNNNNNNNNNNNNNNNNNNNNNNNNNNNNNNNNNNNNNNNNNNNNNNNNNNNNNNNNNNNNNNNNNNNNNNNNNNNNNNNNNNNNNAUCUUCUUUUUAUUAUAUAUUCAUUUCUUUCUCUCUCCAUUGUCCGGUUGUAAAAACAACUUUACAAAAUAUUUAGGUUUGCAUAGAUUGCAAUACACAGUAUAAACUACGUUCUAUCAUCUUCUUAUGAUUCAUAAAAAUAUAUAAUAAUAAAAAUAAGGAAUUAAUAUUUCUUGUUUUUAUUCUGAAAAUGGAACUUUGCUGAAUAGACGUGAUUUUAUGUUGUUUCUUAACCAGUUCAAAUUUGCUACUUGUUUAAACUGAAUAACUUAAGGAAUGACAUGAUAUGUUACCAAUUUUUUGGGUCAAAAAGUCAUUAAUUGAGAUACACAUCAUCACUGACUACUCAUUAUAUGAUUAACAAAAAAACACAUUAACUUUUCUUCUUCUUUUUUUGACAGGCUAAAACAAUUAUUUAGAGCGAGCAAUUUUAUUAUUACUUUUAAGAAAUUGAUAUUUUUACAUAAUUUUUUAAUAUUUUUAUUUAAAAAUCGUCGCUAUAUAUUUAUAAUGACACCUUUUAUAUAAAAAUAUCAAAAAAUCAUAUAAAAAUAUCAAUUUUCUAAAAAUAAUAAUAAUAAUAAAAAGGAUGAGUAGGAAAGAUGAAACAGAGUCCUUCAUCUUCAUGUUGCAUUUUUCUAUCAAACAAAACGUAGGAUGAACAAAUAAGCAUUUACGGUUAAGUUUCAAAGUGUUUCAUAGUUUCCAACUUGAAUAGAAAUUCUAAAGAAGAAAAGAAUAACUAAAUCAAACUUAUCAUACAACAAAUAGGAAACACCCGAUUACCCAAUCACCUCUAUGUAUAGCCCCCAUCCCCAUAUCCUAAGUAUAAUCAAACAAGAACCAGACCCUUAAAACGCCGCAGUGAUAUAAUCAAGAAGCAGGGCUAACGGCAGAUAACUUCUUACAAGGGUGCCGUCUCCGUGGUCUGAAACAGAGGCACUGAAAAGCCAAUUUGAGUACGUUUCUAAGAACUUGGCCCCUUUUUGGAAUCAAGCGAGGUGCUGUGGCCGCGGUGGUUACCCGGAGCCUUCGGGGGGGCGGCGACGGGGGAGGUAAGCUGGAUAUGGUGGUAGCAGCCAUUUGUGUGUGUUAAAUAUAUAGUGUAGUAGAAAAGAGAGGUAGUGAAGUGAGUGAAGGUUUGAACGGAAAUGAAAGCAAACGGCAGGUCGCGGAAGGAUCCGGCAGUGGUUAUGCAGUGGUUAUGCAGUGGUGAAGAGAGAGAAUUUAGUUAGUUAGUUAGAUAUAUGGACUAAUUUUGCAACCGCGUUCACGAGUAAAUAAGCGUGUUGUUGUAUAUUCCUAUUUCUAUUGAUCAAUUAUGGAUCCGGUUAUCAUGAAAUUAACAAAUACUUCUUCUCUUUCUAAAAGAUUAUCGUUUUAGGAGAAAAAAUAUGUUCUAAAAAGUUUGUCGUUUACAACUUUCAAGAAGAAUAAAUUAUUUAAUUCCCUAUAUUACCCCUACAUUCUCUCAUUGUCCCAAGAAAUUUUCUUCCUUGUAUUAAUAGUUUUCAAUUUCUCAUAAAAGGGUAGUGAUAUAAUUUCAAACAAAUUUUACUUGAUAAAUGAUACUUCUUUAAUUUAUGUGCCAAAAUCUUAAACCAUAAUCAUAUAGAGACCACUGUAUUGAUCAAUUGACCAAAAUUAUUUUCAUAUUAACCACCCCUUCAAUUAUAGGUGCUGUUUUAUUUUUUUCUUUCAUUUGGCUCUAUUUGUUUAAAAAAAGUAAAGUUCUAAGUUGAUUAAAGAAAGACACAAUAAAACUAGAUACAAAAUUAAGUGGUGUAUUAUAAUUAAUUGAUGUUCUAUCGUAUAUAGAUAAAUUCAAUGAUUAUAAUUUAUCAUUAUUAUAUAUAUUAUUUAGUAUUCUUUUUUUCGUAUCCAAUCUUUUAUUACGAAAAUAUUAUUAAUUAAUUUUUUAUUUACAAGAAUCAUUCUACUAUCGCUUGACUUUUGAACUAGUCCUAUCUUGUUAAUUAAUUGCUUAUGGUGUACUCAGUGGCGGAACCAGAAUCUUUUUAUAGGGGAGGCAAAAUUUUUAAACCAAGCGGUGACGGGCCGGCGGCGACGGACGGCCGGCGGCGGCGACGGGCGGCGGCCGACAGGCGGCGAAAAACUAUCGGAAUUUGGUCGCGGAGUUCUUCUAUAUAUUGCGAAAAAAAUAUUACAAUUUGUGUUGCGAUUGCGAAUAGUCGGAAUUUCAAUUCCCUGUCAUGUUCAUAUUCCCCACCAUUUCUUACUGAUUUUUCCCACUUUGGUUGCACCAAUCUUCUGAUCUGUUUUUUGUGUCACAUUUGAUAUAAGCCCAAGAACAUAGAGACAUAUAAUUUGUAAAAUUCCAGCUAUUUACAAAAGGAUCAGCAGUGAUUUCAAAUGAUUGUUUAACAGAAACUAGAAUUGAGGCCUGUUUUUUCAGAAACAAGUUAUGUAGAGAAUCCGAAUGAGACGAUGAAGAAAGGACAAGGAAAAUAGAAGAGAGGAAGAGAAGCCUAAAAUCAGAAGCANNNNNNNNNNNNNNNNNNNNNNNNNNNNNNNNNNNNNNNNNNNNNNNNNNNNNNNNNNNNNNNNNNNNNNNNNNNNNNNNNNNNNNNNNNNNNNNNNNNNNNNNNNNNNNNNNNNNNNNNNNNNNNNNNNNNNNNNNNNNNNNNNNNNNNNNNNNNNNNNNNNNNNNNNNNNNNNNNNNNNNNNNNNNNNNNNNNNNNNNNNNNNNNNNNNNNNNNNNNNNNNNNNNNNNNNNNNNNNNNNNNNNNNNNNNNNNNNNNNNNNNNNNNNNNNNNNNNNNNNNNNNNNNNNNNNNNNNNNNNNNNNNNNNNNNNNNNNNNNNNNNNNNNNNNNNNNNNNNNNNNNNNNNNNNNNNNNNNNNNNNNNNNNNNNNNNNNNNNNNNNNNNNNNNNNNNNNNNNNNNNNNNNNNNNNNNNNNNNNNNNNNNNNNNNNNNNNNNNNNNNNNNNNNNNNNNNNNNNNNNNNNNNNNNNNNNNNNNNNNNNNNNNNNNNNNNNNNNNNNNNNNNNNNNNNNNNNNNNNNNNNNNNNNNNNNNNNNNNNNNNNNNNNNNNNNNNNNNNNNNNNNNNNNNNNNNNNNNNNNNNNNNNNNNNNNNNNNNNNNNNNNNNNNAUAUAUAUAUAUAUAUAUAUAUAUAUAUAUAUAUAUAUAUAUAUACACACGUAGCGGAUUAGGUUCGGACUCCCGGAUCUGAUCAAAUUCGGACCUCAUAUUUUUAUUUUUAUUUUUUGCUUUUUUUUUAAAACAACUAAAAAAAAAAUUAAUAUUUGAUGGAACUGAAAUUUUUUCAUAAUACAAUAUUUUGGGCGUGUUUUGAAUACCUAUAUCAAAAAAUGGUGGUACAGUCUGCACAGAUUGUACAUACAUAUUUUGUUAUACGUACCCAAAACACUGUAUUAUGAAAAAAUUUCAAUUCCAUAAUUUUUUAUUUAUUUAUUUUUAGUUGUUUUUAAAAAAAAACAAAAAAAAAAGUCUGGAUUUUAGUCCGGUCCGGGAGUCCGGACCUGAUCCGGCCUAUAUAUAUAUAUAACUAACAAAGUGGAAUACACUUAUAGUCGUUCUUGAGCACGGGCGGGAGGGUCGACCGUCCUGGGUCCCUGAUCAGAAGGGCCCCAAAUUUGAACAUUUAAUUGAAGAUUUUGGCUGUAAAAAUACUAAAAGAAGUACCUUUCAAUAAAUGUAUUCUCAUAUAUUUUGUUGUAGUCGAACUUCUUAUAUAUUUUGGUGUAGUCAAAGUUCUCAUACAUUUUGUUGUAGUUGAAUUAUUAUGUUUUAAGAUCCGGAAAGAUAUUUUUUUAGAUACAACUUGUACUUUUUAUUUAUUUAUUUUUAUAUUUUUUUAAGUGAAGACAAUGUUUUGAAGAGGACCUCAUUUUCAUUUUUCGCCAUUAACCACCAAAAUCUACCUUUAAUACAGCAAGGCUGAGCUCAUUUAAGAUUAAACUCUUAAAGUGAUCAAGUCGACAUUAUGGAACUAAACCUGCUUAUAUAUACUAGUUUAUGUGGCAAACACUAUACGUGUACAAUUAAGAGGAAAAAAAGUAAAAUAUUUGAAUAAAACUUGAAAACUAUGGAUGAUAAGAGAAAUGAGAGAAAAUAGGGAUACUAAGUAGGAGAAAGAAAUGAAAUUAGUGAUAAAUUGUGGGUGGAAUGAGUUAACCAAUAGAUAAUUUAAUUUAGGUAAUAAUUUAUAUAUAUAUAUAUGGGAUUUUAUUCACAGCAACCGGUUGUUGGGGAGCAACCCCUUUUAGCCCAGCCGCUAUAACCUGUAGCGGCUUGUUACUUAGUUUUUUUNNNNNNNNNNNNNNNNNNNNNNNNNNNNNNNNNNNNNNNNNNNNNNNNNNNNNNNNNNNNNNNNNNNNNNNNNNNNNNNNNNNNNNNNNNNNNNNNNNNNGUCGCGGAAGGAUCCGGCAGUGGUUAUGCAGUGGUUAUGCAGUGGUGAAGAGAGAGAAUUUAGUUAGUUAGUUAGAUAUAUGGACUAAUUUUGCAACCGCGUUCACGAGUAAAUAAGCGUGUUGUUGUAUAUUCCUAUUUCUAUUGAUCAAUUAUGGAUCCGGUUAUCAUGAAAUUAACAAAUACUUCUUCUCUUUCUAAAAGAUUAUCGUUUUAGGAGAAAAAAUAUGUUCUAAAAAGUUUGUCGUUUACAACUUUCAAGAAGAAUAAAUUAUUUAAUUCCCUAUAUUACCCCUACAUUCUCUCAUUGUCCCAAGAAAUUUUCUUCCUUGUAUUAAUAGUUUUCAAUUUCUCAUAAAAGGGUAGUGAUAUAAUUUCAAACAAAUUUUACUUGAUAAAUGAUACUUCUUUAAUUUAUGUGCCAAAAUCUUAAACCAUAAUCAUAUAGAGACCACUGUAUUGAUCAAUUGACCAAAAUUAUUUUCAUAUUAACCACCCCUUCAAUUAUAGGUGCUGUUUUAUUUUUUUCUUUCAUUUGGCUCUAUUUGUUUAAAAAAAGUAAAGUUCUAAGUUGAUUAAAGAAAGACACAAUAAAACUAGAUACAAAAUUAAGUGGUGUAUUAUAAUUAAUUGAUGUUCUAUCGUAUAUAGAUAAAUUCAAUGAUUAUAAUUUAUCAUUAUUAUAUAUAUUAUUUAGUAUUCUUUUUUUCGUAUCCAAUCUUUUAUUACGAAAAUAUUAUUAAUUAAUUUUUUAUUUACAAGAAUCAUUCUACUAUCGCUUGACUUUUGAACUAGUCCUAUCUUGUUAAUUAAUUGCUUAUGGUGUACUCAGUGGCGGAACCAGAAUCUUUUUAUAGGGGAGGCAAAAUUUUUAAACCAAGCGGUGACGGGCCGGCGGCGACGGACGGCCGGCGGCGGCGACGGGCGGCGGCCGACAGGCGGCGAAAAACUAUCGGAAUUUGGUCGCGGAGUUCUUCUAUAUAUUGCGAAAAAAAUAUUACAAUUUGUGUUGCGAUUGCGAAUAGUCGGAAUUUCAAUUCCCUGUCAUGUUCAUAUUCCCCACCAUUUCUUACUGAUUUUUCCCACUUUGGUUGCACCAAUCUUCUGAUCUGUUUUUUGUGUCACAUUUGAUAUAAGCCCAAGAACAUAGAGACAUAUAAUUUGUAAAAUUCCAGCUAUUUACAAAAGGAUCAGCAGUGAUUUCAAAUGAUUGUUUAACAGAAACUAGAAUUGAGGCCUGUUUUUUCAGAAACAAGUUAUGUAGAGAAUCCGAAUGAGACGAUGAAGAAAGGACAAGGAAAAUAGAAGAGAGGAAGAGAAGCCUAAAAUCAGAAGCAGCUAUUGAUGUUUUUUUUUUUUGCAGAAAUAAGAAGGUUUGUUUUAAAGAACCAAGCUUUUUAAACACGAAGAAAAGAAAUGGUCAUUUUCAAGAAUGCACCAAUCCCCUGUCAUGUUCAUAUUCCCUGUCAUGCACCAAUCUGCUGCCCCUGCCCCCGCCCCCCUCCUAGUCGGCGACCGCCUCUCUACCGGCGUCCGGUGUCCGGCUACCGGGGGCAACUGCCCCCACCUGCCCCCCUGGUUCCGCCGGUGGGUGUACUUCCGCAUAAUCUUUUUCUGUGUAUGUUUAGAUUAGUUUUAUUGUUACGCAAAAACUAGUAAAUGUUAUUGUGAAAUUUUAUUUCCUCGGUUAAAUGUAUUUGUGAUAUUCUCAUUCAUAAAAUUUGAGUUUAUUGAAAUAUUACUAAUAUUGAUUAUGAAAUUUAAUUAUUGUAUUUUGUAAUUAUAUUAUCCCUCCAAAUUGGGGGCAUUAAAAAAAUCAAUGAAAACUCUCAUUCGUUUUUAGAUAGAAAAUCUAAAAUUGACACUUAUCUUAAAAAGAAGAGAACAUGAAUUUAAAAUUACUUAAAAUAUUUAGGCGAAAUCAACUUGUUUUGAUUGGGUCAAUCUUUUGAAAUUAAGUUUUCAGCUUAGAAUCUCUCAAGUCCAUCCAAAGGUUAAGCUAAUCAACACUCCCCGGCGAAUUUGACACUAACUUCACCUUCAUAAAUUCUAUAAAUUUUUAGUUAUAGAAAAUGUUGUAUUAUUAAAUUCUAUAACUUUUUUAUUACAUUGAUUGAUACAAUAUUUUCUAUAACUCAUACAAUUAAUAAAAACUUAUAUGAACUUAUUAGAGAGAGUGAAGUUAAUGUCAACUUCACCAUCUCAGAUAUAUAUAUAUAUAUAUAUAUAUAUAUAUAUAUAUAUAUAUAUAUAUAUANNNNNNNNNNNNNNNNNNNNNNNNNNNNNNNNNNNNNNNNNNNNNNNNNNNNNNNNNNNNNNNNNNNNNNNNNNNNNNNNNNNNNNNNNNNNNNNNNNNNNNNNNNNNNNNNNNNNNNNNNNNNNNNNNNNNNNNNNNNNNNNNNNNNNNNNNNNNNNNNNNNNNNNNNNNNNNNNNNNNNNNNNNNNNNNNNNNNNNNNNNNNNNNNNNNNNNNNNNNNNNNNNNNNNNNNNNNNNNNNNNNNNNNNNNNNNNNNNNNNNNNNNNNNNNNNNNNNNNNNNNNNNNNNNNNNNNNNNNNNNNNNNNNNNNNNNNNNNNNNNNNNNNNNNNNNNNNNNNNNNNNNNNNNNNNNNNNNNNNNNNNNNNNNNNNNNNNNNNNNNNNNNNNNNNNNNNNNNNNNNNNNNNNNNNNNNNNNNNNNNNNNNNNNNNNNNNNNNNNNNNNNNNNNNNNNNNNNNNNNNNNNNNNNNNNNNNNNNNNNNNNNNNNNNNNNNNNNNNNNNNNNNNNNNNNNNNNNNNNNNNNNNNNNNNNNNNNNNNNNNNNNNNNNNNNNNNNNNNNNNNNNNNNNNNNNNNNNNNNNNNNNNNNNNNNNNNNNNNNNNNNNNNNNNNNNNNNNNNNNNNNNNNNNNNNNNNNNNNNNNNNNNNNNNNNNNNNNNNNNNNNNNNNNNNNNNNNNNNNNNNNNNNNNNNNNNNNNNNNNNNNNNNNNNNNNNNNNNNNNNNNNNNNNNNNNNNNNNNNNNNNNNNNNNNNNNNNNNNNNNNNNNNNNNNNNNNNNNNNNNNNNNNNNNNNNNNNNNNNNNNNNNNNNNNNNNNNNNNNNNNNNNNNNNNNNNNNNNNNNNNNNNNNNNNNNNNNNNNNNNNNNNNNNNNNNNNNNNNNNNNNNNNNNNNNNNNNNNNNNNNNNNNNNNNNNNNNNNNNNNNNNNNNNNNNNNNNNNNNNNNNNNNNNNNNNNNNNNNNNNNNNNNNNNNNNNNNNNNNNNNNNNNNNNNNNNNNNNNNNNNNNNNNNNNNNNNNNNNNNNNNNNNNNNNNNNNNNNNNNNNNNNNNNNNNNNNNNNNNNNNNNNNNNNNNNNNNNNNNNNNNNNNNNNNNNNNNNNNNNNNNNNNNNNNNNNNNNNNNNNNNNNNNNNNNNNNNNNNNNNNNNNNNNNNNNNNNNNNNNNNNNNNNNNNNNNNNNNNNNNNNNNNNNNNNNNNNNNNNNNNNNNNNNNNNNNNNNNNNNNNNNNNNNNNNNNNNNNNNNNNNNNNNNNNNNNNNNNNNNNNNNNNNNNNNNNNNNNNNNNNNNNNNNNNNNNNNNNNNNNNNNNNNNNNNNNNNNNNNNNNNNNNNNNNNNNNNNNNNNNNNNNNNNNNNNNNNNNNNNNNNNNNNNNNNNNNNNNNNNNNNNNNNNNNNNNNNNNNNNNNNNNNNNNNNNNNNNNNNNNNNNNNNNNNNNNNNNNNNNNNNNNNNNNNNNNNNNNNNNNNNNNNNNNNNNNNNNNNNNNNNNNNNNNNNNNNNNNNNNNNNNNNNNNNNNNNNNNNNNNNNNNNNNNNNNNNNNNNNNNNNNNNNNNNNNNNNNNNNNNNNNNNNNNNNNNNNNNNNNNNNNNNNNNNNNNNNNNNNNNNNNNNNNNNNNNNNNNNNNNNNNNNNNNNNNNNNNNNNNNNNNNNNNNNNNNNNNNNNNNNNNNNNNNNNNNNNNNNNNNNNNNNNNNNNNNNNNNNNNNNNNNNNNNNNNNNNNNNNNNNNNNNNNNNACCCCUCUCUCUCUCUCUCUCUCUCUCUAUAUAUAUAUAUAUAUAUAUAUAUAUAUAUAUAGUCAUUUAAACUUUAUCAUAAAACAUGCAGACCAAGUCCUAACAGAAUAAGAUUUAUUGAAAAGGAUUUUGAAAGUUAAUUUGACAUAUGAACACACAUACAUAAUUUUCUCUAAUUAAUAUCGGUUUGCAAAUAUCUGUUUUAACCGUAAUGCAUUAAAAUAUAUUAAUUAAAUAUAGAAAUUCAACAUUAUUAUUAUUACUCGGUAUAAAUAAAGUACUAUCUAUCUAAUAUAAAAUUAAAAUGUCGAUAACAUAAUAUUCUUCUUAUGCAUGACUUGUCGAGCAUGAUAGUAGCUAAUUUAAGUGUUAAUACUAAAAAAUCAAAAUCAUAAGGAAUUUAUGACAUAAUUAUCCUUACAUUUAAAAGUAUUACAUAACAUAUCAAUAAUAUAUUCAAAAGUAUUACGAUACGUAUCAACAAUACAAUACAAUACAUAUCAGGUUUGUGGACCAUUAAAUUAAAAAUUAACCUAAAAUUGUGGAUUCAUUGAAUCUGAUUUUGAAUAUGCUUACGUAAAAGUCGUACGUCAGAGCCCUUAAGUCAUUCAAAGCCGACCAACAACUGAAAUAUUAUUAUUAUUAUGCAGCGCCUCCGUAAAGUAGGGACCAUUUUUUCACUUAUUAAUUAUCAAUUUUAAUAAUAAUAAAAAUUGUUAACUAGUAUCAUAUAUAAUUAUGUUUUAUAUAAAUUAAUUAAUAAUUUUAAAAUUUAUAUUACUAUGCACUUUAGAAAUUUAAAGAAUAUAUAUAUAUCACUAAUUUAUAUCAAUAAUAUGUCCUCUAUUCAAUAUAUAAGAUCAUUGUGAUUUUUUUAGAAUCAAUUAGAAAAAAAAUUCAAAUUGAUUAACAAUCUCAGUAUAAUAAAAUCUUAUAUUAAUUAUUUUGCACUUUAAAGAUUUUAGAAAAUUAGCAUAUGAACAUUAAUUUGUCACAAAGGAAGAUAAAAAUUAUACUCUUUCUGCAGGAGAUAAUUCGACUUUUCAAUAUAAUAACUAUAUCCUAUAAAUAGCUUUUGAUAGAUAAGCUUUUAUUACUUAAAAUCAAUGUGUAGCUUUAAUAACAAUAACGAUUAGAGAAACAUAAUUCAAUAUUUCUCUUAGAAAUUAGUCAAUAAUCUCAUCCUUAUUUUGUGCAUCGAUCAUACUUGUAUGUUUUGAAAGGGAUAUUCUUAUUAUUAUUCUUGUUUGAUUAAUUGUUUAGGAGUAGUGAAUUUACUCAACUUUCAGAAAAAGAUUUUACUUUUGAAUGAGAUAUUUUUCGAGUUUUGCAUUACUAUGAAUUGCUACUUUUUUUAUUAUUAUUUUAUAAUAUAAGUUGUCUACUAUUUUUAUUUAUUUAUUGAGUUUGAUGCAACGAUUAUUUUGUUUGUAUAUUUAAGAAUUUAGGAUAUUUCACAUAUAUUUGAAAUUAAAUGUUGGGUAGUAAUACUUUUUAUGAGUGGUUAGUAUGAAGUUAAUUUUGGUCAAUUGAUCAAUACAGUGUCAACACACAGAUCGAAAAGUAAUUUUUCUAUCUGCAUGUCAAUACUGUAUUAAUCAAUUAACCAACUUAUCAUAAAAUUAACUUUAUCAUAACCCGAUACAAUAUUAUUAGAGCUGUUUGAAUGAUUGAUGAUGUGUUAUAUCGAGUCACACCAAAUUAGCUAGAUAGAUUCGUGUCUCGCACCAAUUAAAAAAUUCGUAAUAAUUAAUUAAAAAGUACUCCACGUAAGACCUCAUAGAGGAAAAGGCCUAUAUUGCUCAAUAUAGGUAAGGGCCUAAGGGGAGUGGUGCCGUGGACCAAAAAGGUCACUCCUCUCUUUAUUUGCAUUGUAUAUACCCAUCGUAUCCGCAAAGGUAAUUAUUAUCUUGACAAAUACUUAAAAAUAUUAUAAUUAUAAACAUAGAUUUUAUUGGUUUUAAAAUAUAAAAUUAAUAUUAAUAUUUUAAAAAUUAAUUUGAAAAAAUUAUCAAUACAAAGUUGAUAUAGUCAUUUAAGUUUGAAAAGAAUAAAUUUUUUUGAUUAAUAAUAUUUUUAGACAAUACAAAAUAUUUAUAAUUAUAUUAAUUAAAAUUUAUAAAUUUAUAAAUAUUUUUAAUUAACUUUCAAGCGUCAAUGUUGUUUUUAUAUUUUGAUACAGAGAGAGAUAUUUUUUAAAGUAAAAAAAUAUUCGCAUUGUAAAGAGAGAAACAAAAUUGAUAGCUCAAUAAAUAAAAAAUCGCAUUGUAAACAUCUUCGUUCCACUUUUAUAAGAUUCUCAUGAGAGAGUGAGACUGAUCCAUCGAAGAACAUCUUCUUUUUUAACGAAAAAGAUUAAUUCAUUAUUCAUGUGAUUAAUAUAAUAACUAGUUCAUCGCAUAAUAAUAUAUUUUUCCAAACACAUAACUUAUUAAUUUUAAUAUUAAUUAACAUCAUAAUAAAACACUAAUUUCUUCUAAUUAUUAUGCACAACUAUUUAACAAUUAAUUAAAAUAAUAAUAAUAACUAAUUCACCACGUAAUAAUAUAUUUCUCCAAACACAUAUCUCAUUAAUUUCCCCCAAAAUUAACAUGCAUAUAAGUUCACAUGAAUACAUUCAAUAUGUAAUAAAUUUUUCAAAAACAACUAUAAUAUUUAUUUAUUUUUAAAAAAAAAUUAAUAGAAGAAAGCUUACAAAAAAUUUACUUGGAUUUGAAAACUUGUAUAUGAAUGUGAUGCUGGAAAAAUUUCCUCUUCUUUCUCUAAAUUUACUCUCAAAUGUUGGUUGAAUAUGGGAGAUUUAAUUGCAGGUUAAGAGAAUAUGAAAAGUUGAGGGAAUAUGGAGUGAUAGUGGAGUGAAGGGGCGAAUGAAAAAUGAAGCGGCAAACCAAUAGGUAUAACAAAUUUUUUCUCUCAAAUGUUGGUUGAAUAUAGGAAAUUUAGUUACAGGUUAAGAGAAUAUGAAAAGUAGGGGAAAUAUGAAGCGACAAUAUAGGGAAUGAGCGAAGGAAAAAUGAAGCGGCAAGCCAAUAAGUAUAACAAAAAUGUUCUCUCAAUUGUUGGUUGAAUGUGGUAGAUUUAGUUGAAUUAAGAAAAUAUGAAAAGUUAAGAGAAUAGGAAGCGACAGUGGAAUGAAGGGGCGAAGGAAAAAUGAACCGGCAUGUGGGAGAUUUAGUUAUAAGUGUAAGACCCCGAAUUUUAUGAAAUAAAAGUAUUCAAUUUUUCUAUUCAAUAAAUGAUUAAAUUGAUAAAAAGCAAAGUUAAGGGUGCUAUAUGAAUUUUUUUUCAAAAUAAGCAAGUGGUUAUAAAAUAUUCAUUUUUGUCGGGGAAUAUUCGUUUGGUCGUGGAAUAUUCUUUCUGCCGGGUUUUGUACGACGGUGCAGCCAUUUGUGGGCCCCAUAACAAAUAACUGUCGGAAGAAAAAAAUGACAAAAUUGAAUAACGGCGUAGUUGUUACCGUUAAUACUGUUGGAAUACCCGGUGGUUAAAAUACAGUAAUACGCGUGGUUGCACAGUAGCACACGAUAUUGCACAGUAUUGUUGAAUUAUUGAUCCUUACGUAAGAAGGCACUACUCAAUAAUUGUUACAGUAAUUACUGUUCAAUAUUUUAUUUUAUUGAUUCAAUAAUUGCUGCGCUGAUAUUUUAUAUUAUUGUUGUUUCAAUAAUUGUCACUGCACAGUAUUUUCCAUUAUCAGAUCAAUAAUUCAUAUUAUUUGGAAUAAUAUUAUUAGAUAGCAUUAUUGGCAAUGUCUAGAAAGUUCUGUCAAGGAGAGGUUUGGUCACCUAAUUGCGCGCCAGUAAGGAGAAAUCCUUAUCGGAAAGCCCCCUCUUUCCUGGGAACUGCCUGGUUGUCAUUAUUGUGAUUCUGUAAUAUUAUUUGUGAAUAAUUAAUUAUUGAUUUAUAUGAUAAUGAAAUAUUUAUUUGAUGUGGAUAUAAAUGAUGGAUUUAUUUAUGUGGUUAUAAAUGAAGGAAUUAAUGUUGAGGUAUUUUAUCAGUAUUUUGUCGGAUUGGAGGUAUUAAAAGAUCAAAUCAGUGUUCUUACAGCUUUAUUGUGUGAGUUAUAAUUUUUAAUCUGACCGUUGGAUCGUUGUGAUUUUUGGAUAUGUUAUACAUAUAUAAGUUGAGUAUAUGUUCACAAAUUUUGAACCGUUAAAAAUGAACGAAUGAUUUGUUAUGAAUUUUAAGAGGUGACUGAUUCGGAAAUUAGGUUUAUAAAUGAUUUUGGUGGAAAAUUCUAGAAAUGGGUGGGCCCCACUUUUGGUUGUUGGGGAAGAUGGCUGAUUUUUGGUGGGUGGAAUAGUAGCAGGUAAAGCCAUCAGGUAGCAGGUCAAGUCUGCUUCGGCGUGCUAACAUUUUCCUAUAAAUAGAGGGCUAAGUUAGAAUUGAAAAUCACACCAGAAUUCAUAAGUUUUCUCUCUUUUUCUCUCUAGAUUAUCGAGUGUAUUUUGUGAGUAUUUAGAUACUUGGUGAGUUGCUAUUCAUCAGUGCAAGUUUCCUUCAGCGUCAUAUCCGAUAUCCAGUCAGAAGUGCUGCUCUUUUGAGGUAAGGGAUAGUAAGGGAUAUUAAGGGAUGUUAUAUUCUUCAUAAUGAUGUUAUUCUUUCAAUAUCAUUAUACUGACAUAUUGGUAUGGAUCUUAUUGUGGAAUUUAUACCUUUUUGAGUCGGGGUUACUAUUCACGUAUACGGCACUAUUCACGUAUAUGGCACUAUUUACGUAUAUGACAUUAUUUACGUAUACGGUACUAUGUACGAAUAUAGAGUACCAUUCAUAAUUUACUAUUCACGAGUUACUAUUCACGGGUACUAUUCACGACAAAAAAAAAUUGCUUUCUUUUUCUAACCAAAUUAUCGUUAAUUUAUGAAUCUUACUCUUAAAAUUAAAUCCAUGUUUUGAUGAUAUUGUUUUUAUUAUCAUAUAUAACAUUUUUAUAAUCCUGGUGAAGAAAUUUCUCUUUGACUUGAGUGUAAAGAUGGGUAGAUUAUUGGUAUGAUCAUGACUAUGGGUUCUCUUUGGCCUGUAGUGCAAAGAUGAAUUGUGACUAGUAUGAUCAUGACCAUUGAAUUUACAAUUGAAUAUUUUUUAGCUUAAGUGCAAAGGUGAAUUGAUCAACAUGGUUAUAAUUAUGGUUUAUAUAGAAUUUGAAAUGAUUAUAUAUUUCUUUGAGAUGUGAAUAUCUUUGGCCCGUAGUGCAAAGAUGAAUUAUUGUUGAAUAUCUUUGGCUCGUAAUUCAAAGAUGACCUGUUGUUGAAUAUCUUUGGCCUGUAGUGCAAAGAUGACUUGUUGAUGAAUAUCUUUGGCCCGUAGUGCAAAGAUAAAUUUAUUAGUAUGAUUAUGAACAUGAACUGUGAUUUGGUAUAACCAUGAUCUUUGAUGUUUCAGNNNNNNNNNNNNNNNNNNNNNNNNNNNNNNNNNNNNNNNNNNNNNNNNNNNNNNNNNNNNNNNNNNNNNNNNNNNNNNNNNNNNNNNNNNNNNNNNNNNNNNNNNNNNNNNNNNNNNNNNNNNNNNNNNNNNNNNNNNNNNNNNNNNNNNNNNNNNNNNNNNNNNNNNNNNNNNNNNNNNNNNNNNNNNNNNNNNNNNNNNNNNNNNNNNNNNNNNNNNNNNNNNNNNNNNNNNNNNNNNNNAGGUAAUAAGAGUGUAGCUGGGUCGAGCGGGGGUAACAGGGGAAUAGAACGGUGAUCAUCAUUUAGUAGUUAUAUUUGGUGAAUCAACUAUGAUGAGGCGAACCCAACGUUGGAAGGGUGUUUUGUCACUAUCAUACAAGAUGUCUAAUGACAUACAACCUCGUGUCAUCAUAAGGCAUGGUUGUACUCAUCCACUUGUUGAGUAUAUCUACGAGUACUACCUAUAUGAUCUUGGAGUUUAUUUGAAGUAUAAUUCUCAAUUGGAGACAGUGGAGAUAGUUAUAUGUCAAGAGAAGACUCACCAUUGGGAAAAACAUGAUAGUAAUCUUCUCGUUUUUCUUUGGGGUCUAUUGGGUCAACCAAGGAUAAUUCUGCGGCCAUAUGAUAUAUAUCAUAACCUAGAAGCAUGGCCUCCCAUGUACGAAGGUUUCCUUGAGCACUUCCCAAAGAUUCUAAUUUCUAAAACAGUUUUGACUAUACCUUUAUGUAAGGUGUCAUUGUGACGUGCUAUCAAAGGUUGGGACAUGAGUCACAGUUGGUAUAUAUUUGUAUCAAAACUCAUAGCAUUUAUGUUGUUGUAUUUUGCACGAAAAUUGUUGUAAUAAAGUUGUAGUUGUUUUCUGUACCAUGUAUUUGGCGACUCAGAAUGGGUUGGAUGGAAUGGAUCUAUUUUGGGGUUGUCAUAAUAGGUUAAGAAAAUAUGAUAAGUUUAGGGAAUAUGAAGCGGUAGUGGAGUGAAGGGGCGAAGGAAAAAUGAAGCGGCAAGUCAAUAGGUAUAACAAAAAAAAAUUCUCAAAUGUUGGUUGAAUGUGGGUGAUUUAGUUGCAGGUUAAGAGAAUAUGACAAGUUAAGGGAAUAAGAAACGACAAUUGAGUGAAGGGGCGAAGGAAAAAUGAAGCGCAAUGAUGAAUUUUUAUUUUUUGAUAUGUGGAGUAUCCUGACUUGCGUCGGACUAAUCUUUUCACCCCGAACAAGACUUCCAAAAUAGGCUUACGUGUAAGACCCCAACUUUUUAUUAAUGAAAUUUAAUUUCCUCUAUUUAUUAUUUUGAAAUAGUAAGGGUUGAAUUGAUUAAUGUGAUUAGUUAUGGGUAAAAUGCGCAAAUAUUUUAAAUAAGCAGGUGGUUAUAAAAUAUUCAUUGUUGUCAGGGAAUAUUCGUUUGGUCGUGGAAUAUUCUUGCUGUUAGGGAAUAUUCGUACGACGACACAGUCUUUUGUGGGCCCCAUAACGGAAAGCGAUUGGAUAAAGAAAACGACAAGUAUAAGUUGUUUAUAAAUAACGGCGUAGUUAUUACUGUUACACUGUUGGAAUUCCCGGUGGUUAAGACACAGUAAUACGCGUUGUUGCACAGUAGCACACGGUAUUGCACCAAUUAUUGAUUCUUGCGUAAGAAGGCACUGCUCAAUAAUUGUUACAGUAAUUACUGUUCAGUAUUUUAUUUUAUUGAUUCAAUAAUUGCUACGUUGAUAUUUUAUAUUACUGUUAUUUCAAUAAUUGUCACUACACAGUAUUUUUCAUUAUCGGAGCAAUAAUUCAUAUUAUCUGAAUAAUAUUAUUAGAUAACAUUAUUGGCAAUGUCUAGAAAGUUCUGUCUAAGGAGAGGUUUGGUCACCUAAUUGCGCGCCAGUAAGGAGAAAUUCUUAUUGGAAAGCCCCCUCUUUCCUGGGAACUGCCUGGUUGUCAAUAUUGUGAUUCUGUAAUAUUAUUUGUGAAUAAUUAAUUAUUGAUUCAUAUGAUGAGGAAAAUAUUGAUUUUAUGUGGAUAUAGAUGGAGAAAAUUUUUAAUGUGACAAUUGUUGAAAAUUGAAAUUUUAUCUUUUUCUGAUAAAAUAAUUCAUAUAUAUAUAUAUAUUAUUAUAUUUUAAUAAUAUAAUAAUGGUGAUAUUUUUACAACGAAUGUGGGAUAUAUGAGUAUACGAGGAGGAAGAGUAUUUUUGUUGCAAUAAAUGUUUAAAACAUGUUAAACAUGUCGGUGGACCCCAUUUCUUGACUGAAAUUUGAUUAUAGCCUGUAAAAUCGCCCGUUUGUGGAUUUCGGUCAAUUUCUGUUUGGAAUUUGGAAAAACUUUCUUCUGCAAAGUUGUAGAGAAUUGAAUUUCCUAUAAAAACUCGCGAGAUUCGAAUUUUCUGAUAAAAGGGCUAUUUAUUAUGAAUUAUUGAAGUUCCGAAGUUCUAGAAUAAUUGAUUUUUGAAGUUUUAAUUAUUUUUUUUAAUAAAAAUGUUUUUGUUAAGGUUGGUGGGCCCCACUUAUUGUUAAACAUGCUGAAAUUAGAUGAUUCAAGGUGGGUGUAGAAAAAUUUAUAUAUAUAUAUUAAUAUUUUAUUAAAUUUUCUGCUUUGGUGUUCUAAGCAUUUUCCUAUAAAUAGGGUGCUUAGGUUAGAAUUGAAAAUCACACCAGAAACUGAAGUUUUCUCUCUCUAUAUUAUCGAGCGUAUUCUUGUGAGUAUUUUGAGUAUACUUUGAGUAUUGCUAUACGGUGCAAGUUCAAGUCAUAGCCUAUAUCCGGUGUUUCAACUAGAAGUACUGUCUUUCGAGGUAAGGGAUGUUAUUUUAUUCUAAAAUGAUAUUAUUUCUUCAAUAUCAUUAUGCCGAAAUAUUGGUUGGAACUUUUUAUCAAAUUUGGAACUUUUUCAUGUCGGAGUUACUAUUCAUGAGUUACUAUUCAUGAGUUACUAUUCACGAGUUACUAUUCACGAGUACUAUUCACGAAGCGUGAAGAUUUUUUUUGUGAAAUUUCUAUCUUUUGGUGUCGGAGUUACUAUUCACGUAUACGGCACUAUUCACGAAUACGACACUAUUCACAGAAAAAUUAAAUUUUUUUUUUUUGUCCAAAAUAUCUAUUAUGGAUACUAGCUUUGAUUGUAUCCAUGUUUUGAUCAUUCUUGAAUUUUACUCCACUAUGAUUAUUUAUGAAGUAUUUUUGAACUUGGAUUGUUUAAAGUACGAAUCCUUAAUAUUUGUUCUUUUGUUUCACUGGAUUCGUUUUCUUUAAAAUAUUUUUCAUCAUCCUCAGUCCUAAAUGAUGAUAUUACUGAAUAUCUUUGGCCUGUAGUGCAAAGAUGAAUGAUUUUCUGAUGAAUAUCUUUGGCCCGUAGUGCAAAGAUGAACAGGUGUUGAGAUGAACAUGACCAACUGAUGAAUAUCUUUGGCCUGUAGUGCAAAGAUGAAUAUUUGAUUCAAGAUGUAUAUUGAUUGAUGUUACAGGGAUAAAAUAUUGAUGAUGGACUUUUAAAUUCAUAGAUAAUAGUAGAUUUCAUUCUCUACGUAACUCUUCUAUGAAUUAUUAUUUCCGCUGCGAAUAUUGAUCUAAAACUUGUUGUCUAUUGUAUUCUAUCAGAUUUUUCCCUGUUGAAGACUAACGAUAAUUUGUUCUAUAUUAUCUUAGUCAUAAUAUUCUUUACUGGGCUAGUUGAGCUCACCCUUUUCCUUUUUGUUCCAUUUUUCUUCUCAGGAGGCGAGAAUGUAGCGAGUACUAGUCGGGGUAUGGAAUGAAGGUUUUAGAAAGUCGUUUUAGUAGUCCUCACUAUUUUUGUAAAAUAAUGUAUCAAUAAUUGUACUGAGGACUUAUUUGAGUGUGGAUAUUGUCUAGAUGACAAUAUUUGUAUUUAAACUCACAAUUUUUAUGUUGUAUUAAUAAAGUUGUAGUUGUUUCUAUACCAUGUAUUUUGACGACUCAGAAUGAGUGUUGUAUACCUAUUUUGGGGGCGUCACAUUACGCAUGCGGUCCGUUUCUUCUAUGUUGCUUUAAGUGGGAGUCAAAAUUCAAGACCUCCGAGUUUACAGCUGGACUCAAGUUCUCCUUUAAACCACUGAGACAAACAACGUGGUUUGCGACAUGAUGAAAUUUAUUACCAUUAUUAUUAUUAUUAUUAUUAUGGUUAUUGUUGUUGUUAUUAUUAUUAAUAUUAUUAUUAAUAUUAUUAUUAUUAUUAUUGUUGUUGUUGUUAUUGUUAUUGUUGUUGUUAUUAUUUAUUUAUUAUUAUUGAUAUUGAUAUUGUUGUUAAUAAUAUUAUUAUUGUUGUUGUUGUUGUUAUUAUUUUAUUAUUAUUAUUUAUUAUUAUUACUAUUACUAUUAUUGUUUAUUAUUAUUAUUAUUAAUUAAUAAUAAUAAAAAAAUUAUAAUAUUGUUAUUAUUAUUGUUGUUGUUGUUAAAUUAACUUUAAUAAAGUAGGGGUGAUGAGGUAAUUAGGCUACAUUGUCAAGUCAGGUUAUAGCGGCAACAUUGAUGAUUUUGUUUGGUGAAUUAAAGGAAUGGAGGGGCAUUAAAUUUUUCCUUGUUAAUUAUUCUCUCUGUUCCUAAAAGAUUGUCGUUUAGGUUAAUACACACAGAUUAAAGAAUAUAAUUAAUACCUAUGAAAAAUACUAUACUACCCUUAUUUAAUAGUUUGAAUCAAUUAUUACCUUCGUAGAUUUCAAAAGAGAGUAUACUAUUCAAUUAAUGCCAAAACUUUUUCCCACAUGAAACUUAUACUUCAUGCGCCAAAAAAAGUCUGUACAAUAGACAGACUGAGUUUUUUACCCAAAAAUUGCUUCUUAAACGUUUACUGUUCUCUUACCAAUGAUUAUAUGAAUAAGAUUGUAUAUGUUUUUAAAAGGGAAUAGAAAAGACGCCAUGAUUAUAUAAAUAAGAAGCAUUGGGAAGGGAAGGAAUUUUGAAGGCUGUUUGUCUGAUCAAGAAGGGUUUUUUUAUUUUUUGAGGAAAAUGAUUAAAAAAGAGAAAAUUUUAAAUAAGGGUAAAGUAGGAAAAAAAAGGUUAAUUUGUAUUGAUAAACUCAAAACGAUAAUCUUUUAGGAACAAAAAUUACUUCCUAAAACGACAAUCUUUUAAGAACAGAUGGAGUACUAUUAUGCUUGCUUUUUUGUUUGGUGAAUUAAAGGAAUGGAGGAGCAUGUCUAUAAAUUGUGACACUGUCGCUACAACCAAUAGCGGCAGACACUGUAAUCAAUAUUACAUUUCCAAUUUGAUUAUUACAAUAUUUUAUAAUGAGGGGUAGUAUAUUAAAUGUUGUAAUAUUAAAAGUAAUGUUAUUGCCGCUACAUGGUGUUGCGGUAGGGUAUUUUUUCUAUUCUAUCUCAACCAAUAAUUAUAUUGAUUAACGAUUGAGAUCAUGGUUGCUGAAAUAGUUCUCUUGGCAACUAGUUGCCACGGAUGCACACCUAUAUAUAUAUAUAUAUAUAUAUGUAUAUGGGUAAUGAUUCAUAGUAUGUAUUUGCUAUGUAUCCGUAUAUGAUAUACACCAUCUAUACCAUUGAAAAAAAUAACAAGUAUAAUUAGAAAUUGAAAAUCGACGUCCUUACUAUUAGUAGUGGAUGGUAAAAAAAAACACAUAUCAUCCACUACUAAUAGUAUGAGACGUUAAUCACGAUAAAAGUUUUACUUUAUUUUAGGGUUUAAAAUUUAUUAACUAAGGUUUAUAAUUUAUUAAUUCCUUUUUAACUAGGUUUAAGGUUUAUUAACCUUAUUAAUUCUUAGUCAAUAAACCCUAAACAUUGGUUAAUAAACGCUAAAUUCUAAUUAAUAAACACUAAAUCUUAGAAUAAAGUCAAACCUGAUUAGCGUUCACUACUAUUAGUAACAAAUGAUAUAUUUUUUUUUACCAUCCGCUACUAAUAAUAGCGGAUAUCGAUUUUCAAUUUAUAAUCCUGAUCGUUCAUUUUUUUUUUCAUUAUAGGUAGUGUAUGUCCUAUAAAGAUCCAUAACAAAUACAUAAUAUGGAUCAUUACUAUAUAUAUAUAUAUAUAUACAAACACAACGGAUCUAAAGCAUACCUCUUAAAUAUCAUACAUUUAUUAAAACUACGUCGUUUUAGAGAUUCUGUUAAAAAAUAAAAUAAUAUUAAAAGAGAGUGGUCCCACUUGCUUUCCUUUUAUUUAUAAAAAUGCUACUCGCGACUCCACUUAUUUUUUUAAAGAAUCUCCAAAACGACGUAGUUUUAUUAAAUGUAUGUUAUUUAAGGGAGUAUGCUAUUUAAGAGGUAUACUUUAGAUCCGUAAUAUAUAUAUAUACGAAACCUUUCAGGAACGGAUUGAGGGAACGGACAAGCAACGGACCAAAGGGAAAAACACGCAGGUCACAAAGCCAAAAAAAAGGGAAAAAAACAAACUGAAGCAAAAAUUCAAGCGGGUCACAAAGACCCGGGUCAAAAACCCAUGUGCAAUCACAGAACUUUCACUUUCAGUGUAACAAAACAUUACAAACUCUGCCGAUUCUCUCUCAAACCCCCCUUUCCCCGUUCUGAAACUAUGGUUUGCACAGAUGUUACAAUUAGAUAGGCAAACCAAAUCGCGUCUCACUAUUUGCCUACCUUAACCCAAAACCCCAAAUCAAGUCUCCACCUCAGACCUGUUUUGUUAUAUGUAUCCAAAUAACACCAAAAAUACUGUAUUAUAUAAAAAUUCAAGUUCUAUAAAAUAUUAAACUUUUUUUUAGUUGUUUAAAAAAAAACAAAAAAAAAGAAGCAAAAAAAAUCGCAUUUUAGGAAAAUGCGGACUCCCGCACCUGAUCCAAUAUAUAUGUAUAUAUAUAUAUAUAUAUGGAAAGAGAUAUAGACAGCUUCCUAUGUGGGUGGUCCGUAUGUGAACCACCUUUAGUAGCGACGGACAAAAUCCUCGCUAAACCCGUCGUCAUAGGGUCUAAACUGUUACGAUACCCAGAAUCGUCGCUAUAGUCCGGUUCAGACCCUAUGGCAACGUGUUUAGUGACGAUUUUGUCUAUCGUUAAAGGUGGUCCACACGAACUAUAUAUAUAUAUAUAUAUAUAUAUAUAUAUAUAUGUAUAUAAAGUUCAUUUCAACGGCUUAUCCUCUUAUUUUACAUACCAUGUUCACCCCCUUUAGCGACGGUUCGGUCCGUCGCAAUAUCAAAAAACCGUUGUCUUAAUUUUUAGUGACGGAUCGAACCGUCGUCCGGUCCGUCGCUAAAGGGGGUAUGCAAGGUAUGUAGAAUCAAGGGGUAUGCUCUUGAUCCUUUCCGUGUAUAUAUAUAUAUAUAUAUAUACACACACACACACACACAUACACACACACGAAAAGGAUCAAUGGCUCAUCCCCUUAUUUUAUAUACCAUGCUCACCUUUUUUAAUGACGGACCGAGCGACGGUUCGAUCCGUCGCUAUAGGUUUGGUCUGUCGUUAAAAGUUAAGACGACGGUUCUCUGAUAUAGCGAUAGACCGAACCAUCGCCCGGUCCGUCGCUAAAAGGAGUGAACAUGAUAUGUAAAUUAAGAUGAUGAACCUUUAAAAUGAAUUAUAUAUAUAUAUCUAUAAAUAUUUUAUAAAGUGCACGAGAGAUGAGGCCUGAUGGACAUCUCUUGCGUGAGUUGCCUUUCAUAGUAACAAUUAAGGGUGUAAACGAAUCGAGUGGAUCCGAGUAUUGAGUUGCUCAGAUUUGAUUCACAAUAUUUUAUCGAGUAUAAAAUAAGGUUUGAUUGAGGCUCAUUUAGUUACCGAGUCGAGCACGAUUCCGAAUCGAGCCCGAGCAGUUUGGACUUUCCAACGAAUAUGAUCCGAGUAUCAAUUAGAAAUUAUAAUUUGAGGAGGUUCGAGUAAUUUAUCGAACUUUAAAAUGUGCUCAUAUUUGACUCAUUUAUAUUUCGAAUUGAACUUUUAGUCGAGCAAGUACGAAUCAAGCCCGAACUGUUUGCUCAUUUUACAGUGUUAUUUCAUGAAAAAUAAUAUGUAUGAUAAUAAUUGAUUAUAAUUAUCAAAUUUAUCUUUUUAUGAUGGAACACAAAUUAGUUAUAAUUCUAUUCAUUAUUUUGUAUUAAAUUUUUUAUAAUUUUCUAUUGUCACCAUAAUAUUAAUCUUUGUACAUAACAUAUGAAAAAAUAUAUUUAAUUAUACAAAUGACCUCCCAAUUUUCCAUUAAUUAUAUAACAUUUAAUUUUUUUGAAAAUUAAUACUCAAUUCUUUUCAAAAUUAAAAAUAAAAUUUAAUUUUUAAAGUUUAAUAGCGAUAUAUUAAAAUUUAAAAUUAGUAUAACUUAUAAAAAUUUUGAAUGAAAUAAAUUAUUUGUUUUUUAUUUUUUGUUAUAAUAUAUAUAAUUAUAACAAUUGUAUGAAUCAAAUUAAAAUUUAAAUACAUUUAAAGUAUAAUAUGUACCUCAAAAUUCGAACUGUAUGACUAUAAAUAUGGCAUUCCCCGGCAAUGAAAGAGGACUCAAGAGUGAAGGACGAGUCUGCGUGUAUCGGGAGAGAGACGUCAAUGGAUCGGCAACUCGGGAUACGUGACUCGGCAGCAACUCUGUCGGAAGUGGUGGUGGCUGAUACUGAAUAUGAAUCUGACGCCACCACCCUUAGCGGUGGUCCUAACCAUUUAGUCCCUUCCUCACUGGACCACAAGGUACUUUUUACACCGACGUUUUACACGAGGUUUGAAUUUUAUUUUUCUGAACUGCAGUUGUAGUCUAGGCUCAGUAUGAGAACGCUUUUCUAAAGUACUCUUUGCCUUUCUUCAUAGUAUAAUUUUAAGAGGAGAAAAGGUUUACCUAAAAUACAAAGAAAAUCAAAACAAAGUAUUUCGAUUAUUUUUUUUCCCCUCAGGGUGUUCAAACGGCUGCUGUGUUAACUUCACUCUUGCCAAAUGUCAAAACUCAAAUUUCUAAGCAGUUAGUAUAACCAGCUCAUGUUCUGCCAGUGUCACAAGCCAAAACAAUAUGAAUUUAAGAAGGCUUUAUGAAAUUCAUAAAAGCUUACGUACAUUUUUUUGUUUGUUUGUUUGUUUUAACCAUCGAGUCGUGUGAAGUUAAAUUGUUGUUGAUAUCUUUGUUCUAAAUCAUUGGUUCAGGAUACAGGUCAUUGGGCAACUCUAGUACUUGCUUACAGGACACUAGGAGUUGUGUUUGGUGGGCUUGUUACUUCCCCACUUUAUGUUUAUCCUUCAAUGCAUUUUUUGAAAUCUCCAACGGAAGAUGACUAUUUGGGGAUCUAUAGCAUCAUGUUCUGGACUCUUAGUCUAAUUGGAGUUGUCAAGUAUGCAAGCAUAGCUCUAAAAGCUGAUGAUCAGGGUGAAGGUACGUGUGAACCUUUAUGGUCAUUUUGCCUGUGCUAGUUGCGGAAGUUUCUGGAUUGUCUGUCCUUUCAUGUUUGAAGGGUUUCAACUUCUUGUAUUCAUAUUACACAGUGUGUACUCUUUAUGUGGAGCUUUUAGAGUAAAUCCUCUCUUAUCUUUCGCACUAUUCUUAAAUCUUGACUAUGUCUGCGAGAACAUAGGGCCUUGUGUCAUUUGAAACAACCUCUACUUUGUUCUUUUUGGUGUUUAUCCCUUCAGCUUGCCUGCAUAGCAUGUUCGGUCCAUAUUGCAUAAGAUCUCUUUCCUCCAAAUAAAAGGUCAAAUUGGCCCAACAUUUUCAAAAUUUGGAAACAUGAAGGGAAUCGCAGGAUUGAAACAUGAGGGAAAUCAUUGCAAAUGGGUAUAUGCUUGAGGGCACAAGUUUGCAAUUUGUUAGGUGAAAUAAUAGAAAAAUUGAAACUAUGGUUGUAUGAUUUUUCAUAUUUUAAUACUGUGAUUGGAGCUAAAUGCACACACAUACAUGUAUCAUUUUUUUGGGUGAUAGACAUGUUUGGCCUUGUAGGUUGGACAGGCGUUUAGUGCUUAAGAGUAAGAAACUAAAGUAAUUAAGUAAACAUGCUAAAAUAUUUUUAUUUUAGGUCUAAAACAUUGCAACUUUACAUUUAUCCAGAUACUUUUUGUGCCUGAAGUUUUGACCUUGGGAGAAUUCUUGUUGCAGGUGGAACAUUUGCUCUGUAUUCGUUACUGUGUAGGUAUAUGAAUAUUGGAAUUAUUUCUUCCAAACACGUCAAUUCGAACUCGACCUUUUUUCAUGAUAGCCUUUAUGAGAGAUCUGAAAAGCAAAGUAAACUCGGUAUAUUUUUUGAGAAGAGCAUGGUUGCAAGACGGCUGCUGCUUUUUAUUGCAAUUCUAGGCAUGUGCAUGCUAAUUGGUGAUGGUAUACUUACUCCCGCAAUCUCAGGUUUGUUAGUGUGACCUACCUGUACAUUUGUAUUUCUCCCUCCUUUCCCCCAAGGUAUCCAUAACCAUUACUAUCUUCAUUGUUAUUCAAUUUUUCAGUGUUGUCAGCAAUGGAUGGGAUCAGAGCACCUUUUCCUUCUAUAAGCAAGUGUAAGUAAAAAUUCAGUUGCUUUUCAGUUACCACAGUAGGCUUUCUCAUUGAAAACAUGUUGUACUUCAUUUUCUUUAAUAGAUGGUAAUCUAUCAGUAGAUUCUUCUUUAAACAGAAUUGUAGCACAUUAGCCCCACAAGAACAAGAGAUACCUCUAUCAAUUAAAUAUUAAUUGUUCAAGCUCAGUGUUAGAACCGGUGUGUUUUCCUUUUAGAAGAUUCAUUCAAUUUAUCUAACGCUCUAUGUAGGACAUAAAAGAAACAUGCUAUAUACAUUACCAAAUUAACUUUCAUCGACUUCGACAUCCAAAUGCCUUAGACGUGGGACAAUGAUCACUUUGGAGCGCCCCACACAUAGUUUACUAUGGAAUUACUCGGUGAACGUGGUUGGUGGGUAUUGUGUGCACCCAAUAUUUAUUCCGUGCACAUCCCAAGGGUAGUAGCUGCGGCGUAAUUAAAAGUAAUUGGCCAACUGGAUCACAUGUGAGGAGAAGGAAAUAACUAAAAAUCAAAAUGCCACAGUAAUGAACUUCUGGUUUCACUGACUCUAUUAAUCUUUCAUUCAGGUUUUUAUAGACUUUAGUGAGUUAAAAAUUAUUGCUUCAUUAUUUUUAUAGUUCAUUUCUUGAUUACAAUUUUUCUGGUUUUUGAAAUUGCAGCCUUGGUUGAAACUCUUUCUGCAAUAAUUCUUAUUGUUCUGUUCCUGAUGCAAAAAUAUGGUACUUCACGAGUGAGUUUUGUUUUCUCACCCAUCAUGGCUGCAUGGACCUUCACUACUCCCCUUGUAGGAAUAUAUAGUAUUGUGCAUCACUACCCGAGUAUAUUUAAGGCAGUAUCACCAUUUUAUAUCUUCCGUUUUUUUUGGAGAAAUGGAAAAGAAGGAUGGCUAUUGCUUGGUGGUACCAUUCUUUGCAUCACAGGUAAGCUUCUUUCAUCGACUGCAGAAGUUAAAUAUCCGUGUUAUGAGAGUUAUAUGUAACUAUCACAUCAAAUUUUAAUUUUUGUGCAUAAUUGCUGAUCCAUAUCGAAGUGGAUAAAUUUGCUUCAUGUAUAUCCUUUUUAUCAUGUCAAACAUUUGUCUAAAACUUGCCCAGGUGUCAAGUGUCUAACACAGUAAAUUCACACAUUUAGAAGAGUUCACAAAACGCAAGUCCACAAAUGUUGGAAGGUUGUAAGCUCCCAAAUUUGUUGCUACUCAAUUAAUGGAUGUCUCAUACAACUUGUCAAAAAAAAGAAAAGAAAGGAGAGAUCAUACGAAAUUGACGUAGAAACUAUUUUGAGAGCUAUACAUCUUAGGAACAUCAGAUAAGGAGGUAAAGGAUACCAGUACCUCUGGUACAACAUUUAAUGCCCCAACCCUACCUCCUUGCCUUUCAGUGUCACAGUUGUCUUUCUUCUUUUUUGAUUAUUAUAUACCUUUUAAAUUUUCCUUUUUCUUUCAAAAUUUUUCUUUUAGUUCAACACAGUAAAAAGUUGAUUAACACCAUGUGACCAUUUUGAGUUUGUUAUCAUUGUCCUAUGCAGGUUCCGAAGCAAUGUUUGCUGAUCUUGGUCACUUCAACCGAAGCUCCAUUCAGGUGACGUACUAAACAAAUUAUCUUUUGAAUAUUGUGUUUUUACAUACUGUUUUCUGACACUUUUGCUCCCAUCAGAUAGCCUUUUUAUGUACUAUAUAUCCAUCGCUGGUUUUGACUUAUGCCGGACAAACGGCAUACUUGAUCAAGAACCCAAACGAUCAUGAUGAUGGGUUUUACAAGUUUAUACCAACCAAAGUGUACUGGCCUAUUUUUGUAAUAGCCACGUCAGCUGCAAUAGUUGCAAGUCAGUCACUGAUAUCAGCAACUUUCUCUGUUAUCAAGCAAUCUGUUGUUUUGGAUUAUUUCCCGCGGGUAAAGGUUGUUCACACAUCCUCCAGCAAAGAAGGCGAGGUUUACUCUCCAGAAAUCAACUACAUCCUCAUGGUUCUUUGUGUUGCUGUCAUACUUAUUUUUGGAGACGGAAAAGAUAUCGGAAAUGCCUUUGGUAAGAUUCUCUAAAGCUCUGCACCUCCUUUCUAAGAUUGAAUAGAAUGCCGACAAAUUUAUUUACUUUUUAUAAGUGGAAUGCCUGCAAAUUUAUUUUUGAUAUGUAGAACGCCUACAAAGUUUGGAGUCAAUUUUACAGAUAUUUAGUUGUCAAUCACAAUGGUUUUAAUUAUUGCAAAAUUCUUGUUUCUUAUGGUGUCUUGACAUAUCAGCAGUAACAUAUUGUUGACCUAGUACUUUGACAGCUAUAGGAAUACGAGUCAUUAGUUUUAUUUUUGAAAUGUCUUCAGUAUAAUUGUUGUUAGGGUUAGGUUUCUUUUCUUAGAUGUAGUUUUCCUAGUAUAACUUUAAUAUAAGGAACAAUUGAAUAAAUAAAAAAGAAUUGCAACAGCUGUUCUAGUAGUACUCGUUAUUGUUUCUAAGUAACAAAGUUGAGUAGCUGAUUCUUGACUGUUCGUUUGUUGAUAGUGGUGAGAUACAUUUGACUUGUGUUAUCAGGCUUUCGUACUUUGUUGCAUUUACAUAUGAAUUAUAAAUCGCUUGCAGGCGUUGUUGUUAGUCUGGUCAUGCUCAUCACCACCAUACUACUGACAUUAGUCAUGAUCACAAUAUGGAGAACUCCACCAGUUCUGGUUGCUCUUUACUUCGUUGUAUUCUUUGUGAUGGAAGGUGUCUAUGUGAGCGCUGUUUUAACCAAAAUUCCAGAAGGUGGAUGGAUCCCAUUUGCAAUCUCUUUUAUCCUUGCUUUCAUUAUGUUUGGCUGGUUUUAUGGGAGGCAGAGAAAGAUAGAGUAUGAGUUGACGCACAAGAUAGACUUGGACAGACUUGGAGUGCUGCUAUCUGAUCCAGGUGUUCAGAGGGUUCCUGGACUAUGCUUCUUCUACACAAAUAUCCAAGAUGGACUAACCCCAAUCCUAGGUCAUUACAUAAAAAACGUGAGAUCUCUUCACCAGGUUACUAUUUUCACAACACUACGAUACUUGUUGGUUCCUAAAGUCGCACCACAUGAUAGGGUGGUUGUAAAAAAACUGGGCCUUAAAGGGGUAUAUGGAUGUGUGAUCCAGUAUGGCUAUGCAGAUUCUCUAAGUCUUGAAGGGGAUUUGGUUACUCAAGUUACUGAGAGCUUGCGAGCUCACAUACAAAAUUGCAUAGAUAAUGAAGCAUCAGUUCCUCUAGAUUAUGAACUACUCUAUUUGGAAGAGUCAAAGUGCACCGGUGUGGUUCAUAUUCGAGGGAAGAUAAGGUUUUAUAUAGGCCAAAAUUGUGGUUGGUUUGAUAGGAGCGUGCUUGCUUUUUAUGAAGUUCUGCACAGUAAUUGUAGGUCUGCGCUGCCUGCCUUGGGGGUUCCCAUACCGCAGCGUAUUGAGGUUGGAAUGCUCUAUGAGGCUUGAAAUAUUAACCCUAUUUCCAGCUUCAUCUGCCUUGGCCGUCACAGUUGUACCCAAGUGAAAUCAAGCAUGAAAAAGUGAUGCAAGUUUUUGGAUGUUAUAGUGAUCCGCGUUUCAAAUAUAGAAUGGAGAAAUAUGCUCUGGAAAUGAUUCCUUCUUGUCUAACAGGAAAUGUUUAAGAGCUGGGGGAGACGUGGUCAAUAUUAGUUUAGUUUUGUUGCUGAAAACUUCUCUAUACCCUCCCUCUCGUGGUCAUUGGCCUCUUAAGAACUGGAAUAAUUUAAUUUUAACCUUUGCCUCAGGAAAUGGUCGCUAUAUAUAUACAAGAGCAUAAUCCUUAAAUAGUAUAAUGCCUUAAGUAGCAUAAUUUUAUCAAAACGACGCCGUUUUAUAGGGAUGCGGUGACAUUUUUGUAAAUACCAUGCCACCGCGUAUUUAUAAAAAUGCCAACGCGUCUUAUCAAAAUGACGUCGUUUUGAUAAAAUUCUGCUAUUUAAGGCGUUCUGCUAUUUAAGAAUUCUGCUCUUGAUCUUUAUAUAUAUAUAUAUAUAUAUAUAUAUAUAUAUAUAUCAGGUCNNNNNNNNNNNNNNNNNNNNNNNNNNNNNNNNNNNNNNNNNNNNNNNNNNNNNNNNNNNNNNNNNNNNNNNNNNNNNNNNNNNNNNNNNNNNNNNNNNNNAAAAAAAAAAGGUUCGGAUUUUAAACCUGUCUGAGAGUCCGGACAGGAUCCGGCCUAUAUAUAUACCCAUCAAACUGACGUUAUUUUGCAUUUACUCAUUAAACUCAACCUGAUUAGGAGUUGGAUAGAUUAACGAAACAAAAUGGAAUUGAACAUAUUUUACUUAAAUUUAUGAAAUUAGUUUAAAAUUUUCACAGAUUUUAUACUCUUUCCUCCUCUCCCGCCGCCACCACCACCACCACAAUAAAGGCUGGGUUGGUCUGUAAUUACAAUGAAAAUCUAAAUCGAAACCCAAAACACAAAUUGGUAAGUCGAAACCAAUAACUAAUCGCGCCAUUAAAUCUUGUACAAAAUUAUAUAGAGAUAUGCAUGGAAGCAAGAAUCUUUGAUUCUGAAUCAAUGUGGUGUUUCUGUUUUUUUUGUUGUUUUUUUUAACUUUUCUGCCCGACACAAACACAAUAAUUUUAUCAAACAAGUUAACUAUGUAUAAAUAAGCCAACAAGAUUUUAUUAUUAAAAGCUUCUAAUUUUUAGCAUAUUUAUUUUAAUAGAUUUUUAAUUUAUUAUAUUUUUUUUAUCACAUAUUUUAAUUAGAAUAAAAAUAAAAAUUUUAUAACUUUCGCGACCUUGAGAAGAUACAUAAACUCUCUCGCGUGACUGUAUACGUUACUCGUGUUAAAAGUCAAAUGAGUUGUAUAUAUUUUAGAACUUUUUAUAAACUCAAUUAGUUGAAUGAUAAAGAAAAUGUAUUAAAAGUAAAACGUGUGAUUGUAUACGCUACUUUUUUUUUUAUUAAAAGACGAUAUUAGUUUAAUGAACAAAAGUAGAUUGAUCCGAUACUAAUAUAUAUAUAUAUAUAUAUAUAUAUAUAUAUAUAUAUACUUCUUACCUGCCAAAAAUAUACUCUCUAUUCUAAAAUGUAAGUGUUUAGUUUAGUAUAUUGUGAUGUUGAAUUAAAAAAGAUUGCGUCAUUUGGUGGAACGGAUUGUUUUUACAAAUGUAACUCUUUUAUUUUUAUUAUUAUUAUUAUUGUAGAAGUAUAUAUGUACUUGUAUUUGAAUCAUUGAAUGGACUGUUAGUCAAAAAGGUCUUCACCCACCCAUUUUAUUACUAAUUAUUUUUCUUUCACCAACUCUACUUCACCACCCUUGUGUUUUUUUAUUCCCACCCACUCCAUCUUGUCUGCCAAUUUUUUGAAUUGUUUGCCCAACUCAUUAUUACUCUCCUCCUUCAUUCUGCUAUAAAAGGGGCAACAAAUGGAAGAAGAAAACACACCAAAAUUUCAUACUUCAUUCGAGAGUUUAAGGAGAGAAGGAGAGAAAGAAAAGCUUCUGUGAAGCUUUAGAUAAUAGAGAGAGAAAGGUAGUUCAAAUAAAAGGGAGUUUUAUUUGGAUUCUAUCACAUAGCUAUUGUGAAGAAGUAAUUUGGGUUUGUACUCAAAUUAAGAUAUCUUUGUAUUCUCUCAUAUUAUUCUAGUGAAUUCUUUGGAGUUUGUCCCGUGGUUUUUACCUCUUAGUUUUAGAGGGUUUUCCACGUAAAAUUCUUGGUGUCUCGUGGUUUGAUAUUUUUUACUUUUUAUUUCCUGCAGUGGUUAUUAUUUCGGUGGAGUUGCAGAUUUAUUCUGUUUGGCUUAUACUGAUAUUAUUAUCCGUCUAAUUUAUCAAAGACAACAGUAUUUAGGUGGUGAUUUUUCCCAACAAUUGGUAUCAGAGCUAAGGUUAUUUGCUCGGUUGUUUUUUGAUAAAUUUUAUGGAGGAAUCAGUCGGAGCCAUGAUUAAAUUGACCUCUUUAAAUUUUUCGAUCUGGAAGCCUAGAAUGGAGGAUAUCCUUUAUUGCAAGGAUUUAUAUGAUCAGUUGGAGCUCGAGGGAAAGAAGCCAGCGGAAAGUCUGAGGCUGAUUGGAAUAAAAUGAACAGGAAGACUAUUGGUCACAUUCGGCAGUGGAUUGAUCAAAGUGUAUUCCACCAUGUUUCGCAGGAGACGGAUGCUCACACUUUAUGGACAACACUAGAGUCUAUGUACGAGAAGAAGAAUGCACAAAAUAAAACUUUUGUCAUUUGGAAAAUUGUGAAUCUAAAGUACAAGGACGGGAGCAGUGUAUCGGAGCAUAUGAGUGAGUUCCAAGGUUUGGUGAACCAGCUGUCUACCAUGAGUUGAAUCUUGAUGAUGAGAUUCAGGCUCUUUUGCUUCUCAGUUCGUUGCCAAACAGCUGGGAGACUUUGGUGGUGUCUCUAAGUAAUUCAGCUCCAGAAGGAAAAAUGACUAUGCAGAUGGUCAAGGACAGUCUUCAUAAUGAGGAGACAAGGCGAAAGGAGCAAGGCGUAAAUUUUGAGACACAUGCUAUUGUCAUAGAGAACAGGGGCAGAAGCAAUUUUAGAGGAUCUCACAAAGGAGAUACAAGUCGCAACAAAAGCAAAAGCUACAGGAGCAAGUCAAAGACCAGACAAGGUGAAACGUAUAGAUGCUUCCAUUGUAAUAAGGAAGGUCAUUACAAAAGAAAUUGCAGAAUCUGGUUAGACAAGCAGAAAAAUAGUGAGCAUGGAAAGGUUGAGGAGAAGAACAUUGCAGCCACAGUUAUCGAAGAUGUUGUUAUUCUUUCAUUUGGGGAAGAAGAAUGCUUACAUGUUGAUAAUCAGAAAGUUGAUUGGGUGGUUGAUACUGGUGCCUCGUAUCAUGCUACACCUAAGAGAGAAUUUUUCACAACUUACAAAGCUGGAGACUUUGGGUACGUGAGAAUGGAAAAUACUGAUCAGUCCAAGAUUAUUGGAAUUGGUGAUGUUUGCAUUCAGACAGGUGUUGGUUGCAUUGUUACUUUGAGGGAUGUUAGACACGUUCCAGAUUUGCGUCUCAAAUUGAUUUCUGGUAUGGCCUUGGACAGAGAAGGCUAUGAGAAUCACUUUGGCAAAUCUUACUAAGUUUUUUCAAUUUUUAGUCGAUUCGAGCCCAACUAAAAAUAUAAAUGAGUCAAAUAUAAAUAAAUUUUAAAGUUUGAUAAUUUACUCGAACCUCUUUAAAUUAUAAUUUUAUAUUGAUAUUCCGAUCAUAUUCGUUUGAAAAGUUCAAACUGUUUCGAGAUCGUACUCAACUCGGUAGCUAAACGAACUUUAAUCAAACUUUAUUUUAUACUCGUUAAAUUUUAUAAAUCAAAUUUAAAUAACUUAAUACUCAGCUCGACUCAAUUCAUUUACAACUUUACUUCAAUCGUCUACACGGGGUGUUAACCAAAUAUUUUCAAAUCAUUUAAAAAAUAAAAAAAAGUUAAAAGAGACUAUAAAUGUAUAACGUACAUUUUAAAAAAAUAUUAAAAUUUGUGGAUCCUUAUUAAGUAUUUAAAUUAUGUGCUUUGGAGACAAUAUAUUUAUACUUCAAUUAUCUUUUACGAAUACCUUAACUUGAGCAAAGUUUUUAGAUGAACUAAAAGCACUUUAAAAUUAUUUUUUUGAUGGUUGCCAACUCUCAAAAAACACUUUAAAAAAAAAUAAUAAUACAGAUUUGGGUUCUAAAACACAUUUAAGUAAAACAAAAAAAAUUUGUUUUUUAGCUAAAUAAUUUUUUUAUUAAAGAACAAAGUACAAAAGUAUCUUAAAAUUCUUUUAAAAAAAAUCUCAUACCACACAAUUACCUUAAAUCUGUUAUAAAUAUUUUCAAAAAUACUUUUACAAUUACGUACCUAAAUAUUAUUUAAAUUUUCUUACAAAACACAUUUGCCAAAAAAUUUACAUUUACAUUAACAAUAUUUCACGUGGUGUUUAGUAAAUGGGUCUCACCUCUAUGCGAGAGAAAUUUAUAAAAAAAUUAUUAGUUUCAUAUGAGUAAAUAGGUGAGAAAGAAUAUCUUGCCUCCUGAAUUAGUAAGUAGGGUCUAUUCUAUUCACAUUCCUUAGAACAUUGAUGGUCUAAAUAUGCUUAUAUGAAUGGUAAUGGUCUAAAUAUGCCGAUAUGAAUGGUGAUUGCUCUAUCCAAAAUGCUUUUUUCGUGGAAAAAUUGUACACGAUCAUAAUAUUUUUUAUUUUAUUCCAUGAAAUCUUUGACUUCAUAUAUCGUAAUACUAAAUUUUUUUAACCAUCAAUCAUUAUAGUGUCUAUGAUAAUUAAAAAUAGUUAUUUCCAGACACAAAAUGAGUAAUUUUCUUGGGUAAAAUAGUUACUGAGAUCAUCACUUAUCAUUAUGUUCACAAUUGUUGGAAUAAAUCUAUAUUUCCAUUUUUAAAAGGACUAUUGAGUCAAUUUUUUAGAUGAACUAUUUCCUUAAAUUAAUCAUUAUAAUUUCGAAAUUUUAUACAUCAAAAUUAAAUUAAUAACAUUUUUACUUUUUAAAAUAUACAUGAAAAUUUUAAUAUUUACAAAUUUUGUAAACAAGAGGACUAGGUAAUCAAACAAAAAGGCAUCUCAAAUUAUGAAGCGGGGAGUACAAUAAGCAUCACUUGUGACAUAUAUUGGCCGUCCUGACUCAGUAUAUAGACACAAGUAAUAGAGUGCGUCAUUUAUUUGAGCAGAAAAGAGAGAUGGCAACAAUUAAUAAUAUUCCACAGAUUGAAUUAAGCUCCGGCGGAAAAACCAUGCCCGUGAUCGGCAUGGGCACGGCAACGGGGCGCCAAGAAUCCGCAAAACCAGGUAUAUUAGAAGCUAUAAAGGCCGGUUACCGCCACUUUGAUACGGCAGCUAUCUAUGGAUCAGAACAGGCUCUUGGCGAAGCCAUAGUAGAAGCCGUUGGUCUCGGUCUCAUCAAAUCACGAGACCAAGUCUUCAUCACUUCCAAGCUAUGGUGCAACUCCACCGAGCGCCACCUUGUUCUACCCGCCAUCAACAAAACUCUCCAGUACUAUACUAAUCGAUCCAUAGUUUCAUUUGUCAUGUAUAUAUAUAUAUAUAUAUAUAUAUAUAUAUUAAAAAAUCGAUGUCUAUAAUCUUACGCGCAAAUUAACAAACAUUUAUAUGUAUUUUUAACUAACAGCAUUCCCCCAUAUUUUAAAAUAUGUUUUGAGUUGUAUAGGAAUCUUGGGUUGGAGUAUAUUGAUUUGUAUCUGAUACAUUGGCCCAUGCUGGUGAGGCAAGAGGAGUUCAAGGACAGGCCAAUUCCAAAGGAGUGCAUAUUCCCAAUAGACAUAAAGUCGGUGUGGGAAGCCAUGGAAGAGUGUCAAACUCUUGGUCUCACCAAAGCCAUUGGCGUCAGUAAUUUCUCGCCAAAAAGGCUAGAUCAUAUUCUUUCAUUCGCCAAAAUUCCUCCUGCCGUUAACCAGGUGAGGUCCCAAUUAGACGACACCUUUUUGUUUUUUAAAGCACCCAACUAUUGAAUGUUAUGACUUCAAAUAAACUACAAUUUAAUUUUACAUUUUCAGCCGUCCAAUUAAAAUAAAAUAAUAAAAAUAUAUCUAUGUGCGUGUACGUGCGUAUAUUAAGAGUCACAUUCAAAGACAAAUAAUAUACUUUUAUACAUAAUACUUUUGUGUCACUCUUUUACGAAAUGGUCAUGUAUGAAGACGGUCGUUCCAACUCCCCGUCCCCACCAAAUUCAAAAAUAAGAAAUUUAUACUCAAUUCCUACGAACAUCUUAUUAGUCAUCUAUUCUUAAUUUUAUAAAUAGAAUCAUUAAUUCAUUAUCACUUGAACUAAUCUCUAAAAGUUGAUUAGCUGUCGUUGACUUGCUAUUUGAGCGAGGAGUACAAAUUAAGUGCCCUCUUGUUUAGAUUCCUCAUUUGUCUCUAUUAUAUAUUCAACUUAUUAAUCAAUAAUGACUAGUACUUGUCCACUUGAAUUAAUAAUUAACUUUAAAUUUUAAGCAUAUUAUAUAGAAUAACUAAUAGUAUACGUAAUCAUUCCUUACGUAUUUUAGUUCAAUAUUCAAAUGGAGAGAGAGAGAGGCAUCUACUAAUUAUUUCUUUGCCCUUACUUUCAAGUUUCAACAAUACAUGCUUAUGAAAAUGAACAAAGUAGAGGGUUACACUGGGGGGGCAUUUACUUGCGCGUCAUAAAGGUGGACGUACAGUGCAUUAAAAUCAAUUUUCUAAAUUAUUCAACGUGAAAAGAAACAUACGUAUCCCUCAUGCAGAGAGUUUAAAUAAAAAGGUUACAAAUGAGAGUGAGACUGAUGCUUCUGUUGUGGGUUAAUGCCAACAGGGGUGAAAAUCCACUCCAGGAAUGUAAAUUUUGGAAUAGACGUGAUUUGUUUGGUUCUGAUUAUGUCCGCUAAUUUUGCUUCAUUUGAAUUUAGAGGGUUUAUGUCAAAUUCUACGGCAUAGAAAAUUUAUCUUCUUUUGGCAAUGAAUUGAUCUAGGCAUCUAGCUAGCUCUAAUGGAAAUGAAUGGCCUACUGUGUUAAUUCAUCGGUUGAAAUUAAGGUGGAGAUGAACCCGGUUUGGCAGCAUAAACAGCUGAAGGAUUUCUGCAAGGAGAACUGCAUACAUCUUACUGCUUACUGCCCCUUGGGUGCAGUGGGUAGUGCCUGGGGAGACAAUAGAGUAAUGGGUUGUCAUGUUUUGGAAGAUAUUGCCAAACAUAAAGGGAAGACUGUUGCUCAGGUUUGUUUUUCUUCCUCUACACAUUUCAUCAUUUUCAUUAAUGUCUGUUUAGACAUUUCACCAUGCUGCUAUAUAUGUGUGUGUGUGUGUGUGUGUGUGGGUGUGUUUAUAUUUGUGUCAUAUAAAUGAGUGCAUUGUGGAUUAAAGUGCCUGCCUAAUUAUGAUGGAACCCCUGAUCGAUGAAAUAUUAUAUAAACGGCAUGUAGGUAUCUAUAAGGUGGCUGUAUGAGCAAGGGGUGAGUAUUAUUGUUAAGAGCUUCAACAAGGAGAGAAUGAGGGAGAACCUCGAUAUCUUUGAUUGGUCACUAACCGAGGAAGAGUUGAGCAAUAUCAGUCGGAUUCCUCAGCGCAAAGGCGUCUUGCUUAUCACAUAUAUGCAUGUAAAGAGUGAAUUUGGAUUCAAUGAAGUUGACAUUUAUAGCUAAUGUAUGAGAAAGUUCUUAAAGUUGAAUGAAAUAAACAAGUUGUAAGAGUAGCUAGCUAGGAGAAAAGUGUUUGCUCUUUGAAUCAUGAGACUUCAAAGGUUUUAUAUAAAUGAAUAAAUAAAUUGGUGUCUAUAGAGUUGGAUAACUACUGCUUUCUUUCCCGACGUAAUUCUAUCUCCUUAGUCCUAAAAAAAAUCAACAGAUGACCUUGUCAAAAAAUAACCUAAUGCUGAAAAGCUUCCUAAAGUCUGAGACACUGGAACAAGUUCGGUAAGGUAUGACAAGCUUGAUUCUUUAGCAAAAGAAUUUCACACUCUCUCUAAACUACCAUUAACAAAAAGGAGGCACAUGCCUCUUCUCUAUAACAAAAAGUGAGAAUCAAAAGGGGAAAAUACACCUUAAUGACCGCCAAUUACUCACACUUGAUAGAUCUAUAUAUGUGACGAACAAAAACCAAAGCUGCCCGAAAACCAAUAGCCCCAAGCAUGAGAAAGAAGCCAUAGCAGAUGCAAGCCAUGUACCCAAAAAAGAAUGAGAUUUGCAUGAAACCAGACAUAUCAGAUCUUGCAUAGUAGUAGUACAAGCAGUAGCCAUAAAUAAAUAUGCCAGUUGAUCCACCACAAAGAAACGACCUGUGCCAAACCAAAAACACAGAUUAGGCACUAAUAUCAGCUCCUUAACAUAUUUAUUAACCUCACUAACAGUUUCUUCUAAUUGAAAAAACAAGAAACUGUGGUACUGAGUUUCUACUAAACAAAUCAUGCUGCAUUUGAACAUAUAGAAAAAGGAAGGUCAGGGUUGCGGGAAGAAUUCUAUACCUAUAAUCUGACCAUAAAAUGACAUUCAUUAAAAUUAUUAAUCAACGUUAUCAUAUUUGAAGAAAACGAGAGGAACAAAAGCAUUGAUCUAACAAGAAAAUUGUGUACCUCCACCACCAUUCAUGAUCUUCAGCAGCAAGUUGAAAAUAUGUCAAUGCCACAGUAAUGAAUGCAGUCACAAUAAGAAGAAUGAGGAAUACAAUAAACAGGAUGCUGUAUAUUGUAUAGAUCCUGUGACCCCAUACACUAGCAAAGAUGUAGUAAAGUUCAAUGUAGAUGGCACUGAACGGCAAAAACCCUGCCAUUGCCAUCUGUGGAAGAGUACUCCUGUACCAAGGCAGUUCUGGAAUCUCUCUAGGAUACUUUGUGGUGCGGCACGGAGCUUGGAACUCAGUUUUGCUGUUUUUCCCGGCAACCCCACCCAAUACAAGCAAUGGCGAUGUUACUAAAGUCCAUAUAAGCACUAUAACCAUAAUUGUGCCAAAUGGCAAUGCUGCAGUAGAGCUAUAAACUAUGGCAACAGUAUUAAGGAAGCCAAAUGUGAGAAAUAGAGGUCCACAGAAAAGGCAACCUGUAAGCAACAAGUUCCUCACCUAUCAAGAGAAAUAUUAGUUUAUCAAGUUUCACUUAACAAAUCAUAUAUCUGAGAAUGAUAAUCACUACAUGAAAGUACCAUUAACACUUACCCAGUUAGCUCCUUCAAGCUGGCAAUAGAAAGAGGUUGCUGUAUAUCCUGCAAACCCAGAAGUAAGUGCAUACAUGACCACCAGUGCAGUGAACAGAGCUCCUCGGUUGUAUGGAUAAAAUACGCCCACUAGUGCAAGUACAAAUAUGAACACCGUACUGGAAAUGAAUGCGACAAAAAGGUCAGAUAAACUAAUAACAAUCAAUGAGCAAUCAACCUGACAAACUGGCUUCACAAUAUUGGCAAUUUAAGGCUUAGUCGAUACUUACAGAGCAAAUAGUUGGGUUCCAGAACCGAGGGCUGCAGCAAACAAUGAUUUGUGCUUUGGAAAGCGGAAUACAUCACCAUGGAUGUACUUCCAUCCUGUCUCCUCUUGGUCAUCAGCUGAUUCCUCAUCAUGUGCAUACCUUUGAGUAAUUUCAGUUAUUUGUAUUACAAGAUAUGAAGAUGUAAGGAAAAAUUCAAACAAAUGGCAUAUAAUUGUAUAACUAUGGAUGGUUAAAAUAUUUCUUACUUGAUAAAAUCAUUCUUAAGGACUCGCAUGAGGAUUGUUGCAAGAAAACCAGUUAGGAGGAGAACUGUAACGCAAGAGUUUAUGAUUGAAAACCAAUGAAUCUCCAAGUGAUGAGGCAAAGAAGAAGUCUGUGAGAACUUAUCCAUCCUAUUCUCAAACGCAAUGUCUGUUUCCUUCCAUUUUACACUGUAUGUGAACUCAGCAUCAACUUCCUUGUCCUCCGUUAAGUCAAUGACUGAAUGAGGGUCCAUCCGGGCAUUGACCUCAAUCACAUGAUCCUUAUUGUAGAGGACAUCAAAAUGAAUAUGCUUGUAGAGAUAAUAUUUAUACUCGUUUGGGUCGACUUUGCCUUCUCUAUCGACCUUUCCUAUAAAACCCCAAAUGGGCAAGUCAUCGUAAUACAUUUGGAAGUAAUAGUCUUUAUUAACUGCACUGCGAAACUGAACAACUUCUUUCUCUGUCAGCCUCUUUCGGCAUACAACUUCAGACUCUUUAUCCGUCAAGAAAUCAAGUGUAUAUGGAGCACUUACAAGACGGUCCCCAUUCAACACCUCUCCCAGAGCUUCCUUCUUUUCUUUCACAUCAUCUGUCAAAACGAUCAAACAGUAUUAAGGAAAUGAUACAUAUAGUAAUUAAUCUCCAUUAAAUUCAACAUAUCUCUGGAACUCCCAUAGUCAAAUUACUUCGGAAGAUAUUCCAGUUUAGUGUAGAAGUUUCCAGAGAAUAAAAAAAAAAGGGUCCAAUUGUGAGGUGAUUGUUGUCCAAUAGGUAAAGAUGGUAUCAUAACAAAAAAAAAAUGAACACAUGUUCAGAGUAAAAUAAUAUUCCAAUGUAUUCUGAUUGCCAUCAAAAGGAAAAACAAAGCACAAAUCAAGAGCCACAGAGGCCCACGGCUAAAAUAAUAAAUAAAACAUAAAUGAAGAAGAAAACCUGGUAAACAGAAUGGUAGGUCGAAAAAUCUGUACGUCUCACUGUAACCAAAACAAGACAUGCAACAUAAUCAGCAUAUAUAUCAAGCAGUAACUAAACAUGUGAUACUCCCUGCCUAAAAAAAGAGCACCAUUUUCUUUGUAAUUUUGUGAGUGAGUAUACUAAGAAUGUAUAGAUACUGUCCAAACUUGAGAAUAACUAUUCAUAAAUUUACUAAAACGUUAUACAUUAAUGAAUUAUAGUAUUAUAUAGGUACAAAAAUUGUUGCCUAGCAAUGUAUAGAUAUAAACAUAACACCCGAAAUUCGAUAUCACAGAUCCAAGACAAGAUCUUUAGAAAUCAUUGAUCCCACAAACAGCAGGAAUAAGAAAGAAGUAAAAACACAAAAAAAAAGGAUUUUCAAUUCAAGAUUGAUAUGGAAUAUAUAUGGACAUUGACUGUAGAUAUGUAAUGUAUGGAAUGUGGAAUGAAUGGGGAGAAAUUAAUGGUGUAGGGUAGGUACCUGGGGUUGUGGAAGGGACCAACCUUGUUGGAGUAGAGAGGGACAGAGUCACCAGCUCUGUAACGAUGAUUGGAGGCGUCUGAUCUCACUUCCCUUAUUAUUACUAACAUUAUCACAAUCAUCAUCAUCAUCGUCUUCACAGCAAGAGGCGCCAUGCUUAAUUUGCUUACACACAGAUUUGGAAAUGGUAGAACAACACGGAGACACACAGAGAGAAAGAAAGAAAGAGCACACAUACGCCACGUGAGGAGGAUCAUAUACAAUCGAGGAUUGGAUAGCAGGGCAAUCUUACAAAAUACAAACCGGACAAUAAUCCUAAACUGCUUGCGUAGUCCACAUAGCCUGUUUCUUACUCAGAGUGUAGGACACGUGGUCCAUAUCAGUCAUUAGUGGGGCCACCGUCCUUCUUCCGAAUAAUAGGUUAACUUAAUUACCGACCUAAACUCAAAUAUGUUAAAUUUGUAAUUCAAUGAGAAUUUUUAAAAUGAUGCAUUUUUCAUUUCUUCUUCACAAGUAAUAUAAACCUUAAAUUGUUUAUAAAUUAUUGACAAUUCCUAAACAAAAUUUUGACUUUUUUGAAUACAGAGAAAAUAUAACAUAUUUUAGCUUGAAAAAACUGACAUUUGAUCAAAUUUCCAUAUUUAGUGCACAAUUAUAAGUAUAUUGAUUUUGACUUUAGAGCCUCCAAACUUUGUUUUCAUUCUUUCUAUGGUUACCUAUUCCAUUUGGCCUACAAGUUCUUACUCCCUCUAUUCUAAAAUUAUAUAUAUAUAUAUAUAUAUAUAUAUAUUUUAAUCUAUUUUUUAUUUUAAUACUAUAAAAACAUAAUACUUUUAAUUUGUUAUUAUUUUUUUUACUAUUAUUUUCAAUACCACAAAUCGAAUUUCUAACUAAUACGUACUAUGGCUAUAUUUGAAUAUAUAAAAUUAUUCUUAAAAAUUGUGUUUUACAAUGAAUAUUUAUUUUUGAAAUUGAAGAAGUAUAUAUAGAUGUUUUAUUAAGUAAAUGUGGGAAGAAGAAAAGUGAAUUUUAUAUGGACAGAAAUAUAUUAUUAAGUUUAAUUAAUUGAUUAUUUUUUAUAAAAAGGAAAUUUCUCUAGACAAACUUUUCAAAGGAAUGAGACAGGGUAGUAAAAAUAAAGGGAAUUGAUAUUUCCACAUAAAAAAUUUCAUAUCAUUUAACAUGUAAAAAUAUCAGUUUUCAAAACAAAACGUUUAGUCGUGGACCAACGUUUUUUGGAUAUAUAAUACUCCGACCCACGGUUGUUUGCAAUUAUUAUAAUCCCAAUAUUAUAUCACCCUUACUACUAAUAAUAAAGAUAUCAAAUUUUCAUUCAUUUAAGUAUAGAAAGAUAUGAUAAGAUACAACGGUCUUCUUAAAUAAAGUUAAAAGUUAAUUUUGUACACAAAUUUUUAGUCUCAAUAGGGAUUAAUGUGAAAUAUCCCAACAACUUCCUCCGUAAAAAAAUUAGAGAUAUAAUUUGACUUUUGAGGUCAAACAACGACGGUAUAUUAAAUUUCAAAAUUGGUAUAACUCUUAAAAGUUUAGAAUGAAAUAAAUUUUUUGAUUUAUAGUUUUUAUUAUAUACUGUACAAUUAUAAUAUUUGUAUCAACAAAAAUUAAAUAUUUGUAUCAACAAAAUUAUUAAAUAUAUUCAUAUCAAUUUAAAAUUUAAUAUAUAUAUAUUGUUGUUUGAUCUUAAAAUUCAAAUCGUAUUUUUAAUUUUGGAACUGAAGAGGGAGUAAGUCUUAAGGUUAAUACAAUGAGUCAAUGACCCAUGAAAAGUGCAAUGUUCCCUGCUGCAUUUCUGGUUAGUGUAUUGACUAAUAUCUCCCAUCAAUAUAAGCCACAUAAAAAUUUAUGUAUAUUGACUUAUGCUCCAUUCACUUGUAAGGUUUGAAACAAUCAAAUUUUGAAGUAAUAUACUGACAAGAAGAGCAUGCUAUUCGCUUUUGAUAGAUCCAUAUAUAAAAACCCACUGUUCCUAGCACGAGGAAUGUACCAUAGCAGAUGCACACCAAGUAGCCCAAGAAGAAUGAGGCUUGCAAGAAACCAUACAUGUAUGAUAGUACGUGCAAACUAAUCAUACAAGCAGUAGCCAUAAAUGAAGAAGCCAGUUGAUCCACCGCAAACAAAAGACCUGUCAAAUGCAUGGGCACAUAGAUCAGUUUCAAACAAAUUGUUCAAUGGGAAAUUAAAUAGAAUGAUAAUCAUGUAUAGUUCCCCAAUUCCUAGGAAUCAAGUUUUAUGGAUGUCACACUUCAUUUUAGAUGGUAAAAGAUUGUAUAAAUGAGCUUCUUGUUCUGUAUCAAUUGCUAGAGACUUAAACCAAGAAUAACAGCCUCAUAUAUAUAUUGCACUAAGGAGGGGAAUUUAAAUUUAUUGUAGGUGUAACAUAUAGGGGAUUGUUGUUUUAAACAAUGCAUGCAAGUCUUACAAAUGGACGAGUCAACGUACGAGGGGAAAAAAAGGCACUUUGAAACUUAUGUAAACAGAUACUGUAAAGAUAAACAUGAAAGAACUGCACCUCCACCACCAUUCAUGAUUUUAGCCAGCAAGUUGAAUGUAUGUCAAAGCCACAGUCACAAGAGCAGUUUCAAUCAUAAGAUUAAUGAACACGAUAAAAAGGAUACUAUAUACAGUGCAAAUCCUGUGAUCCCAGACACUGGUGAAUAGGUAGCCAAGCUCAACAUAAACAACACAAAAAGGAAGAAGGGAUUGUUUGUUUAGGACUGAAUACAUUUGAAUGGCUGAAUCGGUCAGCCAUUAAAUGCGUUUGUUUUGGAAAAAAUCGUCUGAAUGACUGAAUCAGUCAUAUGAUUGAGAUGACAGCCGAAUAAAGUAAAAAAAAUUUAACUAUUAUAUUAAGUAAUACUAAAUAAAUUUACAACAACUUUAAAUUUUUUCAAAGUGGUAAAAUAAUAAAUUUAUGUCAUUUAGAUGUUUCAGACAUAUUAAUUAUCAUACAAUUUUUUUUAUUCAAAUUCAAAUUUUUUCAAUUUUUAUCAAACACUCCCUAAAUAUAGUCUACGGCCGGAGAUGCUCUAAGGAUUUGAACAUCCCUUAUCUAGAAUGACCUAAACGGCAUUAAAUUAAUUGUAAAUUUUAUGACAAGUGGACGGACAGAAGCGGCAACUCUUCACGUACGUUUCUAUUUGCUGCCACAUCUACCUCAAUCAAUUAACGUUUGAGAAUAUUCUAUCUAAGCUUGGAACUUAGCUUGUAGAAUAAUUAAGAAAUAAGGAUCCAUUCAAAUUUCAAAGCAUAGGAGGAUUCCAUCUGUCUUCUUGGGAAAUUUAUAUUUAGUUUUUUUUAAUUAAUUAUUUGUUUUUAUAUAUAUAUAUAUAUAUUAAUUAAGGUGUGAAAGCAAAUUAAUUAUUGAAAACAUUAUGUUCAAUUCUCUCCUUAUUAAACUUUAAUGUACGUACCCCCCCAAAAAAAGUAUUACGUAAAAAAAUAAGACCCUCUUUUAUAAGGACAGAUGGAGUAUAUAUAUAUAUUCUUAAUUUGUUUUAUUUUUACUUCUAUUCUAAAUAAAAAGUAUCAGUACCGCAGUACGUAUAAAAUUAGAUAUAGUUACUUUGCAUUUUCUCCCCGUCUCCAAACUAAUUUCCUCCUAUAUAUGUUUCCAUCCUUCCAACAACAUUAACAUCUUGCAAUUACCAGUUAUGGUUAUGGAAUCAUUCAUUCUAUCUUUGUCGUCGUCAAUCAACCAUGCAUGAUGCAUGCAUGAAUGAUUUCGUGAAAAAAGAUUCGAAUCUUGUCUCACUUGUUUGGAUUCUGAUCAGCAAAAAAACUGUGCAAGCAGCCUGUUUUUUUGUUUUGAUUAGCAGGGAAGGCAGUGUUUCCACAGCUUAUUAUUCGUGUCCGUCUUCUUUUGGCCCUUGAAAUCGUAAGUUUGAAUAAUUUGCAUAUAUAUAUAUAUAUAUAUUGCUAGGUCAAAUGUACUCCAAAGUACGGCCGCUAGCUAGCUAAUAGAAUUUUUGGGAUAUAUAUGAUUAUCUUUUCAAUAUAAAUAGAAGAUCCGCAAUUAAACAUACAUACAUUGUAAUUUUUGUGGUGAAACAGCAACAAUUAAUAAUGGCUCAUAAAUCAGCAUUAAUUUCAGUGGUUGUUCUGAGGUUAAUUUUUAGCACUCUCAUUAUUAGUUGCUUCCAUUGUUAAGUAUUAUGCAUGGUUACAAACUCAUUUAUAAGUGACGGUACCAAAACCAGUUUCAAAGAUGUACAUGGAUAUAGGUAAUGAAAUCACUAGGCCCGCCGGCCGCCAUGAUUUCUUCACUUAAUUUACAAUAUAUAUGUGAUAUUAAUGCAUGUUUUAAUUUAGUUCAAAUAUCAUGGUUAAUUACUUCUUGACAUAUAUUAAUGGCAUGCUGCAGAUAUGUUGUUUCCACUGCCAUUAUCGGGUUUAUAUACACCUUAAUCCAAAUACCGUUUGCAAUAUAUAUACUACGCUUCCAAAGAAAAUUAAAGAGGCUCAUCAAACACCAAUGUCUGUCCGAGUUUGAUUUCUAUGGUGACAAGGUAUUGAAAUAUUUCAAGAAUAUUAUUAUUUGUAUGAAGUAUAUAUAUUUAUUAAUUAGAUCAAAAAUUAGCAGUUAGCUAGGGUUCAUGAAAGGUUGAGAAUUAAUUUAGAAUACAAGAUAAAUACUAGCUAGUAACAGAUUAUAUAUAUGUGCAUGAGAUAAUAUAUGCAUGGCCUAGCUAAUAGUUUCCCUACAAAAUGGGUGCGCCUGCAAGAAUUACUUGUCCAUUGCUUAAUCUCCCAAUUCUUCUCAAUGUGGUAAUUGAUGAUUGCUGGUAGAGCACUUACCCAUUAUUACAUUGGGAGAAAUUGAGGAGCUUGAGCAAUAAUGGAGAGGUUCCUAGCUUCCACCCAACAAAGAUACCCGAUCGAUCACUUUAGAAAUUUUCAUACUAGUAUAUAGAGGUGUAGCACUUUUUUUCUCAAAAGGUGGAGAGUUUCGAAAAUACAUAUCCCUGUUUUAUAUAUUACUUAAUUCUAUUUUGAUUUCUUCUAUAAUCAUUGUUGUUAAUUUGGCUUUAAAAAACUAAUUAGUUUAAUCCUGCAGGUCCGAUAGAUAGUUACAAUAUUAUGAAAUGAAAACUACUCAAUUGCUCUUGUUGUGUUCGAAAACUCUAUAUGUUUAUGAAAUACUCAAACUAUGAUUUAAUUUGGAUAUCUUGCUAGGAGGAAAUAUGAAUCCACUUGAUACAACUUUCAUUGUUUGUCAUUUCAAGUUGCAUUGUCGUCUUAAAUUACAUUAAACGUAUCAAAUUUUUAGACCAAUUAAUUUUCUUCAUAAAAGGGGUAAAUGGAUACAUUACAUUUCAUCUUCCAAGCAAUAUAUAGAUCGAGGCCGUAUGUUGUCACAUUACAUGGUUUAAUCCACGAAGUCCUAAUUAAUCUCAUCCAUAUUAAUAUAUUUGUCCUGCAUUAAUUACAUUACCAUUUUUUACGAAGAUUGCUAUUUUCACGACGACUUUUUUUUAAAAAUUAUUACUUUCAAGUCCCUUGUUUUGGUGGGAUCCCAAAUUAAGUUUACAAAAUUGUCGUCAUUGUUUUUCUUUCUUUUUUGUUGUGCGUGCUACAGUAAUUGCUAAAUAAAAUUAAUAAGACAGCUUUACAACAACUAUAUAACGUCAAUAUUACAUUGUAUUUCCUGAAAAGCAUUUUAAUUAUAUAUGUUUGGCCGAAACAGAAACAUUAAUUUGAAGUGAAAUAAGUAAUUAAUUAAUGUAUAUUGCAUGCGGAUAAUUGCCUUCCUUCCUUUCGCCUACAUGGUGUUGGUGCUGGUUUUGCAAUUAGCUUUGAGUUCAAGAGACUACUUAAAGAUUUUAUCAAUGCCUUGACAUGCAGCAUUAGGAACGGGUGGGCUUUGAUUUAGAAAAAUCCAAGACUGAAAAGUUCCUUAAUCAGGCAAAUCUUGCGACCAGUUCUUAAUUAUGCCUUCAGAACAUAAUUAUAAUAAAUAAAAAUACAAUAUUAUUUUGCCGGCAUUCAUUUGGUUUAAUCUUAAUUCACUAGUUGAGACUUGAGAGAGAGACUGAGAGAGACCAUGGUUUGUCAAUUUCUUCUUGUUGUUUAUUUACGUAUACGAUCGAAUGCAGAAUUAAGCUCAGCAGCUAAUUAAGUGAUGUGAUGUUGAAAUGGACUAAGAGGCGAUACAUACGAGCAAGAUAAAUACUAGUAAUUUGUAUGUCUUUUGGGAAUAAGUAAUUGGAAACAGAGAGUCGACAUUCAAGGGAUUUUCUACCUUUACAACAAGUGUAGUAAUUUACAGAGAUAUAUCAGUACUGCAAGAAUCGUGAUUUAUGCAGUGUGAAUUUGUACUAUAGGUAUCAAAAUUUGUACAUUGAGCUGCCUUUUUUUUUUUUUUUUUUACUAAGGCUUUAUCUCACUCUCCCUCCGGUCAAUGCUGAAUGCUGCUGCUCAGCUCACAAGCUUUGAACUGAUGAAUAAAUUCACUAGAUAGCUCAUUUUACAAAGUGCCAACCGCAUUCAGCUGCACAGGAUGCUUAGAAAAAUAAUCAAUUCCAGGCAGGGACAGGGAUACAUAAACAUUGAACAUCCACAAGUAGAUGUAUAUUUCUUUUCAUAGCAGUCUCAUUUAACAUUGAUAUCCCCACUAAUAUCUGCGUGACCCAUGUACAGAGGUAUAUGCGAAUGGUGUUCAUGGGGUGCCUAAAACUACAAAAGAACGUUAAGUAGUAUCUGAAAACAGGGAGAGGGCUAGGGCUAGGGCUAGGGCUAGGGGGAGGACUAAGAACUUUACAGUCGGCCUUUGUUCGCUGAGAAAAUAGGAUAACCAAAUGGAAAUGAACUUUUCGAAUAUUACUUCUAACAUUAUCUUAAUUUUCGCAAAAUAAAAAUCACACCAGCCCAAUAGACAUAGAAAGCAUUCUGUAUUAGGCUUCCUGAUGUGAUUUUAUUUUUAUUUUAAACUUUUUCCAGAAUUCAAAUGAUUUGGGAGAUUCAAAAUUUUGAUUUCCAUCUUUUAUCCUGAAGUCCCAACGACCAAAGGAAGCACUAAUGUGUAAGAGAGAGGUGGUGGGAGAGAGACUGAGAGAGCAUCAGUGGAACAAUGGCAAUAUACUCCACUGAUGCAGAAAACCCUCUCCAGUGCUCACUUCAAGGAAAAGUAGAACAAGCACUGCCAACAUAGCUGCUCUUCCAUUCCAUGUUUCUGCACUUUUUGUCCAUCCCCAUUCCCAGACUGUCACAGGUGGUGGUAGCUCCCUACGCUGUGAAUCAUAUGCUGCCAAUAGUUCUUCUACGCUGCCUAGUGGAACAAGAGACUGCACAGCCCAACCUCAAAUUAGACCAAGUCAAUGAUAAAUUUAUAUUAAUUCACAAAUAUACUUUUAAUCACCAAGUUGCGCUUUGGUGCAAUAGUAACAAGGCAAAGUUCGUAUGAUACCUGUCGAGCUUCAAGAUUUGAGACUGCCAUUGCCCCUACAUAUGGAAGACUUUCUAUCACUGCAUCUGCCAGAUCCAAAAUGAAGGUAGGCUGACACCCUAGCGCAGGCACUCGUCCCCAUUUUUCUAUGCCAGAUUUCAGAGCCAACUCCUUGUACUCAACAUCGAUCUCCUCUAAAGUUUCAAUAUGUUCACUGACAAAGCUGAGAGUCAAUUGUACCAAAGAAACUUAAUUCAACCACACAGUACAAGUAACUAUGCCGAAGUAACAUGUCAUGGUAAUACAGGCCUCUGAAAGAGUAGAAGUAAUGAACUUGACAAGCAUGGUUCCAAUAAUGACCACUUGCCAGUAUUGAAUACCUAAUUGGGACAGCUAGAAGACUUUUAACUCCUCCCUUCCCAAGCUCAAUGAUUGUUUCAUCAGUAUAGGGUCUCAACCAUUCCACAGGUCCAACUCUACUCUGCGUCAGAAACAACCAACCCACCAACCGAGUGUGACUGUCAUAAUUGUUUAAGGUGCAUGAUAGACAAAGAUGUGACGCGAAAGAAAAGGGAAACAUAAAUUUGUCUUCAAAUAAAAGGAAAAACAAACAAAUGUAGAUAAUUGAUGGGAGACUUGAGAGGCAUUAUCAAUGGUUUGGUAGAAAAUGAAACAAUUGCAUAAAAAGUAAGAAAGUGAUUUCACUUAUUUGGAAAGAAAGCCUUUAAAUCCUCCACUUCCUUUCUUUUCUCCCCUUUAAAACUCAAACAUAGUGUUAGUGCCGCCUUACAUCACUAGGCUACAUAAAAAUGACAAUUCAUGAAGUAAUGUGUCACUGAAGGUGGAUAAUCACUUUUUUCAUGUAUACGUGAUUCAGCAAUCACUAUGAAAUCACCUUUAAGGUAUUUGCCUAUAUAAUCAAGCCCCAANNNNNNNNNNNNNNNNNNNNNNNNNNNNNNNNNNNNNNNNNNNNNNNNNNNNNNNNNNNNNNNNNNNNNNNNNNNNNNNNNNNNNNNNNNNNNNNNNNNNUCUGUUAUUAUUUUCUAGAUUUAAUUUUCUUUUCCUUUCCUUUCCCUUGCAUUCUGAGUUCCAAACAUAACCCGGGUAUUUCAGCUUCCGCUAUAGCAUAUUAAUCCAAAUUUUAUGCCCUUCAAUUCCUUCAGUUUAAGUUUAUACUAUCAAUGUGCAACUUCUUUUGUAGUUGGUCAAUUAGUAGCUUUAAAUCAAUAUAGACACAUACAAGCAUGAAAUACCUGAUAAGCAAGAGUAUAUGGAUUAGUAAACCCUCGCUUUUCUAGUUCUUCCAUAACCAAAUCUACACAUUCCUCCAUCUCAGCCUUGUAUGGGUCACCAGCUUCUUCCACGUAGGCAAGUGGCACCCCAUGAGCACUAAAAAAUAUCAUCACCUAUAAGGUUUGUUCCAUUAAACUUGUUUACAAUGAAUCUAGUUAAUAUUUGAAGCAUUCAUAAGGAUCAAUUAAUAAGAUAUUCUAGGUAGCAAAAUGGGGAGGGGAGGGGAGGGGGGGGGGGAACAAAUAACAUAUUAUCAAAACAGUUCUUAAGUAUCGUACACAACUUACACAAGUUCUUGACCAUGCUUUACUCUAAAAGUAUUAAGCAUUUAUUAAUUUUGCUUGUUUUCACAGGUAAGCAAGUUCUCAAUCUUAUAAAAUCUGUGCAAUCCAUUAGACAAUCUUUUUCAAGAAGCCUCAUAUUCUCUAAUCUCUAUAUUCUGGCUCUCAAAAAGUCCCUUGAACUUGAAGAAUAGAUGAUGUUCUUAAAGAAAUUGUAGAUCGCACAGUUCUCAGUUCUCACUAGAAGUAAACAUUGUAUGGUACAGAUUGUGUUCCGGACAAUCUAACUUCUAAUUAGUUGUCAAGGCGUCGCCUACGGCAAGGUGACGCCUAGGACGCCAUGCUGCCAAGGCUGCCCAAGUUAAGAGAUUAAGAUAUUUUUGCCCAUGACUCAUCAUAACCCAUGGACUUGCUAUGUAGUGUUAUUUUAUUACUUAUUAGACUGUGUGAUAGUUGAUGAUUUGGUUUGAUUCUUUAUUUUUUACGCGGUGUUUGUUGACUUAUUAUAUUAGUUUUUGAUAUCAAAUAUUUUACUUUUGAAUUUUGAUUGUGAAGUAUUCAUAUAAUUAUGUUUUUAAUUGUAUUUUAUAUUGUUAGUUAUUUUGUUUUUGGAUUUUAAUGUAUAUAAAAUUUUAUUGUUCAAUAUACUUGAUGAGUGGGUAAUAUACCCAUUCAUUAAGUAUUUUUAGACAUAAUAUUUUGUUUGUUUUUAAGCAUUUUAGGACAUUUUAUUUGUUUAGUAUGUAUGUUGUAGGUUAAUGCAGCUGAAAGGGCAAAUCUAACAAGUUUGGGCAAAGCAGUGGCAGUUUCGUAAAUAAGUGGAAGUUGAAUGUUGGGGCAUUCAUUUUGUGAAGGAUUUGAAUGUUGGGGUAUUGGGAGUCAAAAAGAGUGGUGGCAGUUUCGUAAAUAAGUGGAAGUUGAAUGCUGGGACAUUUAUUUUGUGAAGGAUUUGAAUGCUGGGGCAUUGGGAGGCAGGAAGUGGACGAAAUUUCUUUCCGAUUGAAACAAGGAUUUGUGAUUUCUACUAGAUUUUGGAGACGUUAAGCCUAAUUGUGAUGAGAGUUGUAAGGCAAAAUUCUAAUCAGAAUUGGAUUCUAUGAGAAGUUGACUUGGAGAAGACUUAUAUCUAUAAAAGGAAAGGAAACUAAUUUCUAUUUUGAAUAGGAUUCUGCUAAGGGGCUGACUUUGAAGAGACUUAAAGCUAUAAAUAGAUUGGGAGACUAAGAUACAAGAGAAUAGAGAGAUACUCCAUUAGAUUUAGGAUUCAAAACCCUAGUUUGAUAUUCAGAUUUGGAGAUUUGAAGCAAUUGGCUAGCACGAAGGAUUCAGGGUAGGUCUAUAGAUUCUAUUCUCUUCCUUAUCUUUUACUUUGUAUUUUGAAUGCGGAUUAUGGAUUUUAAUUCAAUCAUGAACUAAUUUCUAUUUGAAAUUACAAUGGAUCUUAUUGCGUAGCUUUUAUUGAUAUACUUCCUUGUUAGUUUUGUUAAUUAUUAUGGGAUUGUCUAUUAUGAUUUGUGCAUAAUUGUUUAAUUGUUUGAUCAACAAUUACCGUGAUAAUUUAUAUGAAUUCGAGAGAUGAAGUAUAGAUUUAGAUUUGAUCAUAAAUUCAUAAUAGCAUGUGAUUGUAUUUUCUGCAUGACGAUGAAAUUCAUGAUUUGUGUUUAGGAUAAGGAUAUACAUUACGCUGUAUGUAAUCUGAUAGGGAACUUGUGCUUUAAAUCCUUUUUAAUUGCAAUGCACAUAGGAAUAUAGUGAAUUAAUUAACUAGGGUGUUCACCUUAAUUCUAUCUUCUGUGGAUUUAAGUUGAUUUGUUUAUGAUAUAUUGGGAGAUGGUCAUAAAUAUUGAAGUGUUCUUGAUUAACAAUUCAGAAUAGUUAGCUUAAUUUAACAGCAAGUGUAUUGGUCUAAGUGAAAUUGUAAUCUUAAGUCUUCAUUACCUGGUUUUAAUAUAGUGAUAUUUAGAAUUAGUUUAAUUAACUAUUUUAAUUUCAUAAAUUCACAAUCUUAAAUCAAUUGUUUAAAUAAAAUUAAUUUGGUUAAGGGUUAAUACUUGGUAAUUUUUAUUAAAUAAUUCCUCGUGGGAACGAUACUUUUCUUAUCACUUUAUUACUGGUUGACCGUGUAUACUUGCACCUAAUUGUUGAUUGUGAAAUAGGAUAACAAUAAUUUUGAAGUAAAAUAAAUAAUGUAUAAAUUACAUAUUGCUAACGAUUUGUCGUCAUACGGGCAUCAUGGCAGGCGCCUUAUCGUUUAGGCGUCCUGGCAUGCAACUAAUAUUGUGUCUCAUCAUGAAGCCAUAGCAAUAUUAAAGAAAGCGACUGGAAUAAACCUAACUAAGAAGUUAGAAUUAAUUAGAGUUGAAGCCUCAACUAUGUCGAGGAACCAAUAAGAGUGGGAAUACACUAUGACCAAAUUCCCAGAACAUCUAAUUAUGUGCAAUUUUAGAGUCUCAUAAUAUUUAGAAGGAAAAAGAGCAAAUAAAUGCAAUUUUCUUAAUAUAACAAGCAUAACAUGAUAUUUGCAUGAAAAAUAGUACCUUUUCAGGACGAUCAAAAUUUCCCAACUCCUUUUCAAUCAAAUCUCCCAUGGCUUUUAUAUAUCCUUCACGCUGAUACCAGGAAGGUAUCACUGUGUGCUGCAUAUUUACUAGAUAUUCAUCCUCCCUAAGAAUUCAAUAUUUUCAGAAUUUAUUAGCUUUGGGGUUGUAAUUCUGUGAAUGCAUAAUGUAAAAGUGACCUGUUCAUCACCGAAAUAUACUCUCCAAUAGCCGAAGGCUUGAUCCACUGGUAGAUAUUGAGAACUGUGGAUAUAGAGGAAGCACAACAAGCUUCGCAAUUCCGUCCUUUUUAAUCUGCAUAGAUGGAAAUUUUAAAUGAUAAUGAAAUCAACAGCAAGUCGUGGUAGCAGAGAGUUUGCUUAUAAUUUCAAGCUGCGGAGUUGUGCAAGUACCAACCAACCAAAAGAUCAAUGGUUACAUAACAAAAUAUGUUAUACAGAUAAUUUCUAUAUUAAAAAAUCAAACAGAAAGAAAGUAGUUUUGCAUAACCAGCUAGAAUCAUCAUUCACUCAAAUGUAGAACAAGAGGAUUGUUAUUCAAAAUAACAGAUUAGACAACCAACACUAUUAAGUCAGUUAAGUGUGAGUCAAGUGAUAUGUUUAAACAAAUUUUGAUAUUACAUAUGCAUCAUGGAUUAGAAAAUAAGGGGAAGAAAGGAUGGCCAAUCUCAAAAAUACUAAUAGGCUUUGCUCAAAAUAGAUCAGGUUUUAUGCAAGAAAAAAUAAAUAAAAUAUACUCCCUCCUAUCCAAAAUAAAUGACGUUUUAGAGUUAAACACACUUAUUAAGAAAUAACACAAAAUGUCUUUUGUAUCCCUAAUUAAUUAUUUCUCUCUCCACAAUUUUCUCUUCUCAUUCUCUGCAUAGUUAUUCCCUUUUAAUUAUUUCCAUUAUUCUCCCCAUUAUUACAUUCCCUUCGACGUUCCUUCCUCAUCAUAAUAAAACUUGUUCAAAUCAAAGUCACGUUCGGAACUUACUGCAGAAUUUGGUGGAGCAUUUUCUUGCUUCCCAACUUGGUGGAGUGUAGAGUUAGAAGUGGGAUGGAGAGGUUUUUGGUUGUCCAUAUUUUUUGUAUGCUUAUGUUCAGUUUUACAUCAACGUAUUUAAAUGAAUAAAAAAGGUAAUGGUCAAAGAUGAAGGCAAUUAAUGGGUUAUUGAAACUUUGGUUGUAUAUGUGGUAAAAUGGUUCAUGGAAUUGCAUUUACUAAGCAUAUUAAAUAGAGGGGUAAAUUAGGAAAAAAUAGUGCAAUAUUACAUAGAAAUUCCAAAACGACACUUAUAUAGAAUAAAAUUAAAGUCCCUAAAACGUCAUUUAUUUAGGAUAGGAGGGAAUAUAUAUAUAUACACACGUAAUAUUUGUCAAGUCUUUUUGAAAACUUUAUUAAUUUUCUUAUCUUUUUCUAUUUUACAUAUAGAAGAACGUUUGCUCAAAAUAGCAAAAGAAAAAAGUCAAAGUUAAAAGGCUACUUUAAAAAGUGUUUUCAAAUGGAAUCUAACUUACUUCCGAGAUAAAUUAGUAUCAAAAUAGUAACAACCCUAUACUCUUUUAUUUUUUUACUUUUUAUACAUGAUAUGUUUUCUCUUUAUGUUUAUUUGGCUACUCUUUUGAAAUUUAUAUAAUGUUCUCUUUUUAUAAGUACCAAGAAAUCUCCUGUUAAUCAGCAGAAACAAUUUGGGUGAUGACACUAACACUACCUAGCGAAAUCAAAAAGAUAACUAGCUUCUAUUUUGACUUGAGAAUCAUCCAGUUACGGGAAACAGAAUCAAAAAAAGGUUGUAGCUAAAUUUUAUACUAAUAUCAGCAACAAUGGAACAAAAUUAUAUAGUUCAGGAACCUGUUCAAUAGCUUCCUCAGUGAAUGGAUGCCAAUAACGCAUACCGACAUACACCUUUGCUGGAACAUCCUUUGCGCAGAGUGCCUUUCUCAACUCUUCAGCCUGAAUAAAGAAAAUAUCACUUGAUAAAAGGACAACAUAUGCAUACCAAGGCCUAUGAAUUGAAAGAAGACCAUUCUUCACGGCAAAACUUGUAAAAGCCUAAUAUGUCUCAGAUCACAGUAUAGACUCCCCAAAUAAGCCAUUUAACAUUAUUGUAAUUCUUGUGCAAUUAGAUUGUUACAAACAAAAUUCCACACUGCACUCUUUAGCCUCUAAAUGAAAAAUGAAUAAAAUAAUGAAACUACUCCAACAACCUUUCUCUUUUCAUUUUAUUAUACAGGACAAUUUAUUAUUUCGAUGUUAUCUGGAAGAUGUCUCUGACUAACAUAAGGAGAAAAAAAUAAACUGAAAAACAGGGAACGAGUAUAUCAAAAUGUUAAGAAGAGAAGAAAGUUUACAUGUCAAAAGCGAUAAAGACAUAUUACACGAACAUAUUACAUGUAUUGUUUGUCACUUGUAGCAAUCAUAAAAGGGGGAGUAAAAGGCUUUGAUCGUUUUAUGAACCUUGACCAAUUCUUAUUUAGAGCUAAAGGGUAGUAAAUGUUGUUCUACAUCAUAGGUAGAAUCAGGGCUUAAGGUUUAUUUGAGCAUAAGUGAGCUUAUUCUUCAAGGAGGAUAUAUAGGAAUUGCUCAUGACCUAACUUGGGGCGUCCUUUGGGUGCCUGUUGAAAAGGCAAAAGAUUUACUUUAGUAAGGAGCAUUCUCACUAGGCUGACUGUCAAUAUUAUGUCUCUCUACCUAUACCUAGUUUAACUGUGAAGGAAUUAAUAACAAGGAUAGAUAUGGAAACAAGGACACAGCCAAACAAAAAGUAUUAUAAAUACCAAAGGAACCGAAGAUGUUUGGAGCUCUAUAUAACAUGUACCUAAACACACAUUCUGGAUUGUAUUUUAUUUGUUUGUUCCUUCUUUUUUUCAUUUUGUUGAAAGAACCCAAUAAUAUAUAUAUAUAUAUGUACAUGUAUAUGUAUAUAUAUGUACAUGUACAUGUAUAUAUAUGUACAUGUACAUGUAUAGACCUGGACUCUCAUCACAUUUGAUUACUAUUUCUUAAUUCAGCUUUCAUGAUUUCACAUUCCAAUAUUUUCAGAGCAAUAGUCUUGUGAAAUAUACAUGCAUUAAGGUUCAAUAAAAUCUAACAGCAUAUUAAGAUAUUUGAAUUAUUAGCUGCAAGACAUAUUAUUAAAAAAACAUGCCUGCGCAUCUGUUAUCUUUCGAAGAGGAGAACCGCCCCCAAUUGAAGCAUAGCCUUCCUUGCUCUUCGGGGCUCUGGCAAUAGAUAUAAAUUGUGCCAAAGGCUUUUGAAGAAAACGAAACAAUCUUGGCAAUCGAAUAAUAUCCUGUUCAAAUAUAACAACUCAAACAAAAACAUACAAAACACUACAAAGAACUAAAGUUUGAUGUAAGUAACAAAUCAUGAUUGGGAAGAAACCUAUAAGCCUUAAUUGAAGAUUGUCUUAGUUGUUAAACGAAUGCUCACACACAUAUGUAAGCACAAGCUACAAGGUGACAUUUAACAGGUACAAGUCCUCUAGCCAACGCAUAUAGCGUCCAGAAGUGUGCCUCCUUAUACUUAAUAUUUAUCACUUACAUGCUGGAUGUUUUACUUAUGAGCCAUUAAGUUAGCUAUUCUAAAUGUCAUCAGGCUUCUACAACACAUCUGAGGGAAGCAAUUGGUCAUUUGCACUAUGAAAAAGAUGGGGUGAAUGAGGAAAAAGAAAAGAAGGUAAUGAACAAAGAAUCUUAAAAUUAGAUAGAUUACUUCCUCUCUCUUCUAUGCCUUAGAAUUCUUACCUUAAUAUGUUUUGCCAACUCCAUGCCACCCUCUUCUAUUUUGUAUAUUGUUUGAAAAUUCUCUUCAACAGAUAAGUAUUCUUCUUCCUUUUCUUUCUUCUAAUAUGUUAUUCCAACUCUCUCUCUCUCUCACACACACACAUGCACACAUAAAUCUCCCAUUUUCCCCCGUUUCUUUUACUUGUUCGAGAAAGAGCCUUCCUCCUUCCUUCCCUCCUUCAUUUUUACUUUUCAGUUUUCUCUCUUCUGCUUCUUCUUCCUUCUUAAUCUUUCUCGGCUUCUUUGUUCUAUUAUGCUCCUCUUCUUCACAAACCUUAUCUUAUAUAUAAUGUUCCUCUUAUUCGCAUGUUUCCAUAUAUUUAAAAUUUCCUCAGCAAAUGGCAAUUCAAUUCAUGCAUUUUAAUUGCUGUAUUUUUCUUCUUUUUUUUUUGAGUAUGCUGAAAUCAUGCCCUCAACUUUGGCUGACAAAAUCAGACCUCUCACUGAAGCAUUAACUCAUAAGACCAAAAGAUUAAAAUCGUACAUUAGAGAACCUUUCCUUCAAUAUUACAGAAGCUACAGCACUACAUGGCGAAAAUUGAGUCACAUUAAAAACAUAUUAAGUGCCAGACACCUAUUAUAGAAUCAACAAGAGGCAAUGAAUGAAUACAAUAAAGAAGUAUCGGCAUCUUCAUUCCAUUAUGCAUUCAAUAACACAAGAAAGAGCAAUUUACCGGGUCAGCAAAAAGGUUAAACAAAAAUGGUUGCACGUCUUCAAGAGUCUCUGGACCUCCGAGGUUCAACAACAGUACUCCUAUUUUUCCAUCAUCAAGAAGAGGUGAAGUGGAUGUGGAUUUAUUUUGAGAAGUCAAUAUUGCCCCCAAUGGCAAUGAGGACUUGCUGAGUGGUUGCUUUAAAGAUAAAAAUUGUGUUCCGGACCAUCCCAAGGGGUAUCUGGGAACUAGAAAAGUUUUUGAGGAGUUAAUAGUAUUAACAAAAGGUUCCAUUUUAAUCCCAGAGCAAUGGGAUAUCAUUUGAGAAGAGCACAUUUUCCGCGGCAAUAACCUGUGAGAUAACAGACAUACAUUAAAUUCCAUUCACUGUAUCACACACAAAAUACACAACCAUGUUAUUCAAACAAUAUUCCUCGCAUAAGGUCUAUUCAUGGAAUAUUGAUGAAACAAUAUUCAUCUAUCCAUCUAUUCUGUUAUUUAAAGAGAAUAUGCAAGUCAGGUAUCCAAUCUUCUCUCUUAAGAAAUUAGUUAUGAUCACAAAAUAUUGGCACAAGGUCUAAACAACAUGACAUAUGUGAGUAAUUUCAGAAAUAGUAAUGCAUAACUACCAUUUGGAAUCUAAUCACAUGAUAUAUCAUGUGAUUAAUUUACGGAAGUAGUUAGACAUAACUACCAUUUGGGGUCUGUUUGCUAACAGAAACAAUGGCAAAAAUACAAAGUACAAAGCUAAAGACCACUAACAUACUACACAAGGAAACAUUUUUUUCUCCCAACAGAUAUUUAGUACCAUAAAUUAAAUAUCACAAUACAAAAAUUGAAAAAAUAUAUCAUAGGUAAAAUUUUGGAUAAUAUAACCCCUCCAAAUCUUCACUAGGAAAUCCGAUAACGUUUCAAUCCCCAUAGCAUAAUUGGCUAAGCAACUUCAUUACUGAAACCUAAUUCAACUCCAUUCCGUAAACUUAAAUUUCCAAAUUUGUAAAAUCAGUUUUUAGGUUCGCGAGCUGAAGUCGUAAUGCUAUAGGUAGCAAACAGUUGUGGUUGAAUUUGUAAGCGUGAAAUCAUAAGUUUAGAUUACUACUCUACUCCUGCUCAAAAGGACAAUAAAUUGAAAGCAAAGUUUAAACAUAGAAUAAGGUGGCUAGCUGUAGGGAAACAAACAAAGAGGAGAGAGAAUUACUCACAAAUCCAUUUGGGUGGGACUGACUGGCUGACUGCAGAACAAAACGAUGUUGAGAUUUUGGAGUUGUCACUGUAGCCUUCUUUUCUUCUUCUUCUUCUUCUUCUUCUUCUGUGUUUUUCGGAGCUUGCGUUCUGUGAUUUAGCUAACACUGUGACCUAAAAAGAUGGAAGAUAAUGUUUGGCAUUUUGGUUGUUGCACGAAAAUCCGACAAUCUUUCGGUUGUGGUAUUUAUUUCGGCCCCAAUUUAUUCUUUUGAGAAAAAUAUACUCCAUUCGCCCAUAAAAAAGUCUCAGAUUUUAAAAUUUUAUUUUGUGUCGUUCGUUGGCCAAUUUUUUUAGAAUUUUGAAAAUAACAAAUUUAUAAUAAUAAUAAUAAUAAUAAUAAUAAUAUUUGUAAUAACAUUCUUAUCUCUAUUAUUAAAGCGCUUGUAUGUCAGGUGUUAAUAUUGAUUAUGAUUAAUGAGUUUGUGAUAAUUUUAAAUUCAAAAAUAUUAGAAAUUAUUUGUGAAAAAAAAACUUUUAUUUUCUUGAAAAAGAAAAUAAAAGGUUUUCUUUUAUUUUUUUCCUUUGAGAAAUUUCAGUCUUGUAUGUAUUUAAAAAAAUUUCGAUCAAUUCAUAAUUCACAAGUAUAAAUGGACAGGAAUUUAUGUUUUUUUGUCCUUGAGUAUGUAAUGAAUAAUAUAUAAUAAUAUUAUAAUUUAUGUUAAACUAAUCUCUACUUUAUCUGUAUUUAUUUUUAUAUUUAUUUCACGUAUUAAUUAUCAUGUAAAGAGAAAUAAUUUUUUUAUCAAAUAUUCAAGGUUCACUAGUUCAAAUUUAUUCAAACAUACAUAUUUAAAAUUGUAAAUGAUAUUUUUAUUUCAAUUUUUUUAUUUAUUCUCCAAUGUAAAAUAAAAUUCAUCACUUUAAUUUUGUAAUAGAGUCCAAAUAAUAAUAAAAAAUUGUAACGUAUUUAUCAUUUUAAUUCAACAUAAGAAUAAUACCCGACAAUAGAAAACCCAAACCAUUUGUAUCUUUUGCUAUGCCAAGCCCCAACAAUUUCAGCCCAUAUUUCAAAAUAAUUCCAUUUAGUGCGGGUGCAAACAAUACAGGCAGUUUCCAUUUGGGCUUUAACAUAGUUUGAUUAAAUAUUGGACUUUCUUAGAUUGUUAUAUAUAGCCCCAUUUGUUUUUGUUUUUUUUUAACUACUUCUAACUUUUAGUUCUAAAAAACUACACGACUAAUGUUUGUUUCAACUUUUGGCUACAAAAGCCAAAAGACUAGUACAAACCCCUCCCCNNNNNNNNNNNNNNNNNNNNNNNNNNNNNNNNNNNNNNNNNNNNNNNNNNNNNNNNNNNNNNNNNNNNNNNNNNNNNNNNNNNNNNNNNNNNNNNNNNNNCCCCCCCCAAAGCAUAAAAAAGCACUAGGAAUAUUAUUAUUGGGUAAAAGGUCAAUUGUUUAGUAAGAAUGUCUUGAACUUUUCUUGACAUGAUGUGAGUUACUGCAAAAGAAGUUAUAUUCCUUCCAUUCCAAAAUUAAUUAUGCAUUUUGGAUCGAUUGAAUCAAUUUCUGAAAUUUAAUAAUUUAGAAUCAAUUCAUUUAAGUUUUGAAAGAAGCAUAAAAUAAUUAGUACAAUUUUUUAGUUAAUUUUCAAGAGUGUUGCUAAGGUGACAAAAAAAAAGGUUUACAAAAAUUAGAUUAUAAACCGGUGUGACAGAGUAUAAUUAGUGGAUAAUCCACCAUGCAUAUGUGGGCUUAGGGAUAACAACCAGCCACAUAAUUUUAUAAGCAACUUUUUGUAAUAUUCUUUUGUCAUCAAAGUACUAUUGAAUUUACAAUAAUUUGUACAGAAACUAAAAAAAUAAAAAUUCAUGCAUAUUAAUUUUUAAAUUUUAGAAUUUUGCUACUUAAGACUUGAAAAAAAUGUACCGGUAAUUUGGAAGGGGGCGGGAAGUAGUAGAUUAUAAUAAUUUCUUUAAGAUCGAGCCGUUGAUAUUUGUAUUAAAACGUACUCCAAAGAAUUCAGCAGCCCUCUGGCCACAAUUAAUUGGUGUGUAUAUAUAUAUAUAUAUAUAUAUAUAUAUAUAUAUAGGUGUUAGGAAUAUAUAUGGGGAAAUUAAGAUGGUAAUUUGUUCCCGUUACAAAAUGCCAAAUAAUGAUCCUACAUGGUGGCCCGACUUUUUCAUUAACUGCAUGGCCUCAGUGCCUUACCGAAUGAAUGAAUAAUUAAUAAUACAAGCUAGCUAGCUAGCGUACCAAACCGAAUAUUUGUAGGCAAAAACAAUUACUAAAAGCUAAGUGGUUCCUUAGUCUACACUUUUAUUAUUAUAGAGGUGUGGUAGAUAAUUAAUUAUUAGUUAUUUUUUCGAUCCCAACAUUACAUGUGAUGAACAUAUAAUUCAACACCAACUUUUCGAGGUCUUUCUAUAACUUUAUUUCUUCUUGCAUUCUUUCUCCCAAUAUAUAUUUAAGAAAUUGAUUCUCUCUUGGCACCUAUAUAUAAAGAUUUGGCCAUACAUAUCCACUUUUUCCCUUACUAACUUUUUAACUAUCUAUCAUCUGUUCUGACCAUGCGGUUGGCCAAACCCAAAGAAUUAAACAGUGCUUUGGCUUACAUCGGCAUGAAAAUAUAUGAUAAAAGGUGGUAGAGAGAGAGAGAUGCAUAUAUCCAACCCCGUCCUCCUAAGCGAGUACCACUACUAAUUUUAUUAGGGUUUGUCACAUGACAUGAUCAAUGUACGUACGUAAUAUUUCAAUUUCACAUCCAAAUAUGUGGGUGUAUAUAAAUCUUAAUUUUAUUUUAUUUAUGAGAUGCUUUGUGGUCUAGCUAGUAGUCUAAUAUGACAUGACUGAUACUCUUUUGAAUAGAUGAAAUAUAUUCUAAAUUCGGUGUUAGAUCGACUAGAGUUGUUAAAAUUAAAUCCAUCCAAUUCUUUUGAAUUCAUGUUGUGAAUUCCACAACUAAAAGUUAUGAUUUUAUUAUAAAAAAUUAAACUAGCAAUUCUUUAAUUUUAUCCGAAACGGUACUAGUGGGUAGUCUGAGUCUCUCUCGAUCGAUCAUCCACUGGAGGCAAAGGUGUCAAAUGGGUGCACGUGGUCCCAAAGAAAAUGGAAAGCCCAGCAGCAGAUGGAGCCCCAUGGUCCUAGCUCUCUGUUGGCUUUUUGAUUUGGUUUGAAUUGUGUUUCGAAAUUAAUAUCUAUCAGUACUCCUUUUUUAUUUCACUUUACUUGCUUGGUUAACCAUUUAGUACGUACGAGUUUUAAUUUACACUUGUAAGGGUCAUAAAAACUGGGAGUGUUGUAUUGUGUUUGUUUCUCUAAAUAAAUGAAAGGGGAACAGUGUCAGCUACUGGCUGCUGACGCUGGGCCUGUGGUUCGCUCCCUCUCCUGAUUCUGAUGAUGGAAAAGUGAAGAGUGUGUGUGUGUGUUUAUUUUGUUUUGGUGUGUGUUGUUUUUUUCCAUUGAGAGGGACGAGUGCCUGCCUUUUAACCAUUCAACUGUGGCACUGAAAAUCAUGGCGUUUUAAUUAUAAGCAUUCAUAAGGAUCAGAUAUAUAUGUAUUGCAAUGACAAAUAUCCAUCUCUUACUUUCUCUCUCCUCCCCUCUCCCUUUAUUUACCUAUCCUUAUAAUGAUACAUGAUAGUCUCUGUACAUAGAAUUAAGAUAGGAAACUUUUAGUAUUUUUAAAUAAAAACGGUAGUUUGAGUAUACAGUGGGUUUUAUGUAAUAAUAUUAAAAAUAUAUGUUAAAAUAUAAAAUAAACAAGAAUAUGUGUUUUAGAUGUACAUAAAUUUCUCCAUGACUUGAUACAACUUAAUUUAAAUAGAUAAAAAUAUGAAAUAUCAAAAAAAAAAUUAAUUAAAAAGGUGAAAUGCUAUUAUACAAAUGAAAUUAAUCUCUUAAACUAUAGGACACAGAAGCUUGUUUACUCGAACACAUAUUCCUUAUAUAUAUAUAUAUAUAUAUAAAGAAUAAUGACCAUACACACAGCUGCUGUGUAUGUUUUAUUUAUUCACAAUCUAUUAAAACUAUUUCGUUUUGACAUAUUUGUUUUUGAUUUCUCAUUUAAAUGGAGGGAAAACUGUAUUUUUUUUAAAAAAUAAAUCUGUUAGAACGACGUAGUUUUGACAUACAAUACACAAAUAAAACAUACACAGUUGUGUAUAGUCAUAUUACCGGUAUUCUGGUCCUGAAUUAUUACAACACCUCUUUUAUAGAUCUCCAACUAAAAAGCUACUACUCCUAGGAGAAAAAAACCUAACUAUUUGAGGACAAUUCAAUAGUGUUAGUUACUGCAUGUAUAUUCAUAUAUAUUAAUUAUCACGUGUUUGCAUAUCUAAAUUAAGUUUGUGAACGUACGUUCUUCCCAAUAAUAUCUAAGUUUGAUUUCUUGUUAUUAAUUAAGUUUCGUGCAAUUAUAAAUUUUUUGAAGCAACUUUCAAUACAACAUUUCAGUACAUAUAUAUUUAGCAGGGAAAACUUGUUUCAAAAUGUAAGAUUUUUUCACAAAAAAAAAAUUAUAUUAACACUAGUUCUUGAAUAUGACAAUAAUGUUACUUUUGAUAACAACAGAUUCAAAUUGAAAUUCGGCAAAUUUAAUAUACAGAAAUAUCAUUACAAUUGAGAUUUUGAAAAUUAUGGAAGCUAGAAAUUUCUCCUUUUCAUUUUAUUGGUAAAAUUAACCUAAAUUUUAUUUGAAAUAUUGGAAGCUGGCCAGGGUCAAGUAAAAGAAAGGAAAAGGAAAAUUAUUAGGCAGGGCCCGAACCCCCAUACUCCGAAUCGUUUAAACACACUGCAACUGCAUGGUAGUAUUAUUUCAUAUCACAUGAGUACUGUUCCAUACGACAUAAUUACGCCUUCACUUUAAUCAUAUGUAUGAGUACGUACUGCAGAAGAUUUCAAGCUCUACACUUAUUUUCUUUAGCAACAAUAUAUGUAAUGACAAAUAUAUAUAUAUAUAGAGAGAGAGAGAGAGAAAGAGAGAGAAUAAACAAUACCUGUUAGUGAAAAAUGAGUUUCAUAGUUGAUAUCCUCUUUUUGUUUCUUUUGUUUGGAAAAAGGAAAGAAAUUACCAGUUUGAUGUUAGAAAACUGUUGAUCAGAAUCUUACUGAUCAUGACAACGAUAAAAACCAAACCUUAACCCAUGGCCAUAUUUCCAUUAGCCAAAAAAUGUAACAAAAUUAAAAAAAGAAAUUAUAACGUGCAUUCCAACAAUCAGCAAUUAGCAAAAUAACUAAAAUCCCAGAUUAUAUAUAUAGCUUUCAUAGGCAAGGGAUUAUACAUACACAUAUAAACAAAAAGAUUCAGAAUGAGAGAUUUUUUUUUUCUUUAUUUAAUUAGAACAUAAUAUCAUGAUAAUUAAAAGCUUUUUUAAGUAAUAGUGUAAUACGUACUACUAGUCUCCUUCGCCUUGUGUAAUAGCUGAUGACAUAUAACUCAUGGCAAGGGAAGCCUCAAGAUCAGCAACAUUAGGAGCUGCUGCAUGAAAAUGUUGCUUGCAGGCAUGGCAAGUGAUUUCAAGCAUGGUGGAGCUCAUCUUCUUUGUAGCUUGUUCCUUUAGAAUCUGAGCCUUCUCAAGCUCAGCCUGUGCUUGUUGCCUAAUUCUUUUUGCAUUAGCAAGCUCCAUUUCCGCCAUUUCAAUCUGUCUCUUCCCUUGUUGUCGUGCUUCUUCUGCAUACGCCUUCUCAGCCAUAGCCAUCUUUAGCAGCUUCUCAUUUGCGUCAAUCUCAUUCGUUUCGUUUCUGUUACUGCAUGAGGAUGUCCCAAUGGAGAGCCUCAAAUGGGUUGCAUGAUUUUCGUUGCGGUUGUGUAAUGAAUAUGUUGUGUUUGAUGAUGAUGGUAAUAGUUGAAGCUCUAAGUUGUGUUGUUGCUGAUGCUGAUGAUGAUGAUGAUUAGUUGGGGAAUUUAUAUUAUAGCGCUCGGAUCGUGUAAAAAGUAGUGGCUGAUGAUCAAGAGCAAUAGUAGUUUUAGGCAUUGAGAAUGAUCUUGGCAAUGGGGCCAUAGUACUGAAGUUGGUAUCACUAGAAGGGCUGGUGCUGGAAGCUGUACGAGACGAGCAGGUCGGCUGCUGUUGCUGCAACCUUGCCUGUAAGUGAUCAGGUCGAACUUGCCGGAUAGUGCAAGCAUCUUGGUGCUCAAUGAAACUCUCAACUCUGAAAGAAUUAAACAGAAAAAAAAGUAUAUACACAAUGAAUUAUUCAAAGCUUGAAUUUAACAUGUCAAUAGAUUAUUAUGGUGAUAUAGCUAGCUAGCUCAUAUAUAUGGAUUGAUGAUCUAUGUUGUCUUUAAUGAUGAAGAUGGAGUAGUAGUAUGUUAGUACGUAGUAGCAAGCAACUUAACUUAGUCAAGAAAUCAAUCAAAAGAUAUAACUAAAUAAAAUAUUAGUAUAGAUCAAGGUGGGAUUCGGAUUAUGACUUGGUUAAUUUAUUAUAAUAUACUACUAUUAACAAAUAACCCAACAAAAUCUAGCUAACCAAUUAAAGUAAAGCGUUGAGUUUGUAUGUAUUUUAGGUAAUUAAUAUGGGAUAUAGGAUAUGGUGGAUUGGUGGGCAUACCCUCUUCAUUGACUGUUGUAAAUUAAUCAUAUAGAAUGAGGUCAUGUUAGUACUAGUAUUGGAAUCUGUUCUUGGGUUUAUUUGAAGAUAAUACAAGGAUCAUCAGAAACUCGAGAAAGUAGAAAAAAUUAAAUGCCAAAAAUAUACUUAUAUAUGUUACUAGUUUUUAUAAUUGGCCAGAUACUUUGGGUUUUAGUGAAUGUGUUUAAAUUUUUGUGAGAUAGAAUCAAUUAAGAGAGAGAAAAGCUAGCAAUUAUAUAUAUGGCAAUUAAUUAAUUAAAAAUUAGUAAUAACCUGGAAAACACUCGACCACAGUCACAAGAAUGGCCUCUGGUGCCACAAGUUUUGAGAUGGGCCUUAUAAUCUGACUGAACCGCAUAACCUUUUGAGCAUUUCUCGCACACCCACUGUUUGUUAUUGCUGUGUUUCCUCCUAAAGUGUUUCUUAAUUCCAACAAGAUCUCCGAGGGCGUGGCACGGGUCAUGGUGUAGGCAACUGGGUUCGGGGCACACAAAAACCCGCUUCCUCACCUCCGGCGACUCCCUCUUGAGCAACUUCCACGGCACCUUGUGUCGCCGGCGGUGCAUCUGAAGGUUCUGGUCCCUCUGAAAUCCUUGGUUGCAGAUCUCACACACGUAUCGGUCCGAUUCCAAUAACGUCUUUGGUGAUAGCGAAACCACCUCCGCAUCCGGAUCUGUACCAAUUAACAUAAGCAAUUUCCCAUAAUCACAUACUACUAUAUGUCAUAUAAAAUUAAAGCAGGAGCUGAAUUUAAUGCUAUAUUUGUACUAUUUACAUACCUGGAGUACCAGCUGGUCUUCUUUUUCUUUUGUUACAAAUCUCAUCAGAAGAAGAAGAUGGACCAGUUGAAGCUGUAGUAUUAAUAUUUUCUAACAUGGGGUUGGAUUUUUUUGAUGCUUUUUUUUGAAUUAUAUGUAUAUGUCUUACAAUACCUAGCUAGAAGCUGAUGGAUCAAAGAACAAUAAAAUCUUUAUUUACUUGUAAUUAGUACAGCUGGGGAAGUGGGGGAGUUUUUUCUUUCAGCUUUAUUCAUACCAGGCACUAAUGGUAGAGAGAGAAAGAGGAGAGAGAGAGAAGAUAUAAUGGUAGCUAGAUGAAGGAAAAAAGGAAGAAGAAAAAGGGAGUUGCUGCUUUAAGCAGUCAGCUUUCUUUUAAGCUUUUUAUUUAUUUAUUUUUCAAUGAACUUUCUUUCAUUGACCCCCACCUAGCUAGAGAGCAGGUAAGGUUGAGGCAAGUCUUCUUCUAUAUAAAGCUUAAAACAGUGGUGUAGGUUAGGUUAGUGGUGACCCAAUCACAUUGCUACAAAAUUUGAGACCCCACAGGAGGAGUAUUUUCUACACAAACAAAAAAACAUAUAUCCCCUCUCCUCCCCUCCAUUCCAUAACAAAACAAACUUGAUCUCAUUAUUAAUUUACAAAUGUAAUUUGCAUGAAUAAAUGCAUCCUCUCCCUUACGUUCACGUGACCUUACAUCUGCCUCACGUGACCUUCCCAUCAACCCUUAACCUUUGUUCUGUACAGUAAAGUUGAAGCUAGCUAGCGCUUAAAAAAUGAGUUUUCAUAUGUAUUGACCAAGUAUAUAUAUAUAUACAUGCAGUACUAUACGAUAUGAUGACCUCAAAGUAAACGUGCAUGAUUUGUGUUGUAGAGCAGCUUUAUAAAAAAGAUAAGUAUAUAAAGAUAGAUGAGAUUAAUUGAAUUGAUCAUUAAUGAAGCACGAUUACUUGCUUAACUCGAUCAAGGACGACACAGUAAUCAUUUUAUCAAGUUUUUAUCCUACUCAAAAGUUUAUUUAGCACUGCAUGCAUCCCUCCUCCAUGUGGGCUCAAGUGCAAAUUAGGGUUCUCUUGACCUAAUUGAAUUAAAUGCACAAAUUAGGAUUUUACAUUAUAAUCAAAUGAAAAGACGGAAGAGCCGAAAAUAAAGAAGCAAGACCUGAGAGAAUCUUCCACGUGUCCCGAGGCAGAAGACACGUGGAGGCGUCUCAUUUUUGGAAUUGAUUGAGGGAUUGGAUUGGUGGCUAGAAGGGCAGGACGAUCUGGGCAUUACUCUAAUGACUAAGAGUAAAUUUGGGAUUUCCCCGAGAUCAUGUGCCUAGCACAUGACCACUCUCCAGAAAACCCUAUAAAUAACCCUUCCACUCCAUUGGGAAGAGGACCUCACUUUAGACCUCUCUCCAGACACAGGACUCAGACUCUUUUGGUGACUUAAGACUUGGAUAUUCCACCUAAAAGCACUAAAAGGGUUUGGGACACUCGCUCUCAACUCAAGGGACUCAACAAGAAGGCUCUUGGAAUCCCAAUAACCCUAACCCAGUUUCCAGAUUCUAGGGGUUCUGCCACGCGUCGUCGGAGUAAUCGCCCACCUGUCGUUCUCCCCUCUUUAAUCAAUCAAUCAAUUUCGUGCUCUUCGUGGAUUUCUCUCCUCCUCAGCCAACAUGAAACCCUAACCCUAGCAAGGUACGAUUUCCUUGCCCACAUUCUUUUGGCGACUCUGCUGGGGAGGUGUAGAAUUCGUGAAGGGUAUGCCCACAACUCGAAGUGGG
rnacentral:lncRNA from 1 species